rnacentral:lncRNA from 1 species
GUAAGUAAAUGGAUGAAUUAUGGGAGCAACCAAGUACUCUGCAACUUUUGCAGCAACGGAGAUAACAAUUUCCAUUAUCCCUUUCUUUUUUAUUUUUUGCUUUCAGAAAACAGGGGAAAGCAAAACUAAUCAAACUAAGCAGAAGUAAUCAAUCGGGUGGGAAGAGGGAAAUAAGAGGUUUGGAUAAAUUGCUAAAAUAAGAGGUUGAAUAGAUUUAAGGGAGGAAGGGAGGAAAAGAGUGAAAAGUCUAGAGAUGAAACAAAGGGGGACCUUUCUCUGAUAAGACAAAUUGAAAAGCGAGUGCAAUGAAAGAUUUGCAAAGAAGGUGUAGGAUCGAGGACAAGAACGAUUCAGAAAAGGGAGACAGAAAAUGAAGAAGAGAUUUCGGAGAACUCUAGAGAUUAGAGAAGAGGGAUGAUUAGGAUAAUGCAGAGGCAGACGGUUGUGAUCUCAAGUCUCAAGGGUAAUCUGAAUACUGCAAAAUGCCAAACUAAAUUCAUACGAGGAGAAGACUCGUGCUUCCAAGUCAACUAGAUUCUUAAUAUCUGAGAUAGAUGAUUUUUUUUAUAAUUGCAUGUAAAUAGUGUUAAAGUUAUAGGUUAAUUGGACAGCGGAAGGUGGCAUUUUGGCAUUUCAUUGAAUUUUCUUGUUACCAGUAAGUGCUAUGCUGCCGUUGCCGGACUUUAUGAUUUUUUUUUUUUUGAAUUUUCAUUGAAUUUUCUUGCGCUUUUCUAAUAACUCUGCUGUAAAGCCCAAGUUUCGGGACUUUAUGACUUUUUUUUUUAUAAAAAAUUUUCAUUGAAUUUUCUUGCGCUUUUCUAAUAACUCUGCUGUAAAGCCCAAGUUUCCGGAUAUAUGUGAUUAAAAGCUAAGCCAGUGGAUUUGUAAGCGAGCCCACGGCGAAGAAUUUGAGCAAGUAUUUUUAUCUUCUUAUUGUCACAUUCUUCUAAUUAAUUUGCUUUCACCAACAAGUAUAAUUAAUAAUUUGUAAAUAGUUGGAUCUUAAGCUCAAAUUUUGACAAUACAUGAAUGGUAAUGUAUACAUAUUUUUCAAGUGUAAACUCUAUUUAAGAGAGGAUCUCAAUUUUUAAGUUGAGAAGACUCGUGCUUCCAAGAUUCUAUCGUGUAUAAUGGGCAAGACAAUCUUUUUACUUCAAAAAUUUUACAUAAAUUUUUGUGGUUUGAUGGCGUCAAAUUCAAUGGAAACGAAAUAAGUGACUUGAAAAGAUCAAUUGAUCAGUGAUUUGUCAAAAGUUUACUGAUAUUAUUACCCUCCGACACGAUUUUAAGCUUUAUAUCCAGACUAGGGUGACAAAUAUCGUAGCACUACAAUCAUCAAUCUUACUUAGAUAUAAUUAUUUUUAUCUUCUUAUUGUCAUAUUCUUCUAAUCAAUUUUUUUCUUGUUUAUCAACAGAUAUAAUUAAAAAUGUGAAUGUUGGAUCUUGGACUGAAAUCUUUAAAUUUAAAAUCAUGAUCAUUUUAUCAGUAAACUGCAACUCUAUCUUGAUCAAAGUUUUCACCGAAGCAAACAAAGAUUAGUGAUUAGAUGUUAAUAAACAUUAAAAAAAAAUGCUAAUACACGAAUAAUAAGGUAUGCUAAGCGAUUAGACUAAAAAAAAAUGCAGGGGCACAUGUUUGAUCUCAAGACUCAAUGGGUAAUCUGAAUAAUGCAAAAAUGCCAAACUAAAUUUAUAUGAGGAGAAGACUCGUACUUCCAAGUCAACUAGAUUCUCAAUGAUUGAGAUAGAUAGUUAUAAGGGUUAUUAUGGUUUCAAUUUUUUUAAAAACAAUUAUAAGAUAUAAAAUAACUAUAAGAAGUAUUGGUGUUAUCAUUUUAUUAGUAUAUCUUUAAAAAAAACCUUUUAUUUUAUAAUAUUUUUGUUAAAAUUGUGAGUCCAAAACUAACGUCAUACUAAUAUGAAAGGGCUAAAAGUGUCUUUACAUUCAAAACUAUGAUAAAAUUGUAUGCAAAUUAACAUUACAAGGGCAGCAUAUUUAUUAUUGGUUAAGAAAGAGGGAAAAAAAAUUGGAAUCUCAAAUAUCUAGCGUCAUCGUUAUCUUUUUUUCUUCAUUUUUUUUUCUUUUUUCAGACAGUGGUCCGCCAUCUUUGAAAAAUUAUUGGCACUUUCGAAUGGGCAUUAAGCCGUGCAUUGGCAUUGAUGGUCUCAUCUGAAAGAGGAAUUAGAGGAAUUUUGGUAGCAGCAGUGGCUGUGCAAUUUUUUUUAAAAUGAUUUAUCUCUAGGAAUGCGUGAUCAAUUUGAAAGUGGAUUUUAUAUCAAAUUUCUUUGAGAUUGCUUUUCGAUUGAUCAGUUUGAUUUGGCUAUGGAAUGAUGGUUUUAUUACUAUGAGUUUGAAGGAUUUAUGAAAUAGAAAUUAAGAUUGAUAGAAAACAUAUUGAUCUCCGAGUUUUAAUGGCAGUUUCAACUUGUUAUCUUCAAGCCUCACCGGUGGUUUCAAUUUGAUACUUUGAUGAGAGCAAAAUUAGCAAUUUAGCACUAGAGGAAGAUAUUUAAUCACAAGUAUAAGAAGUUUUGACAGCGAAGAGAGGUAUUCUUCAACUAGGUUUAAUUUUUUAUUUUUGUUUUCUUAUGUUUUUAUUCAAAAUUUAAUUAAAUUUUAAAAUAAGGCCAUACUUGAUAUUUUAUUAGUUAACUAACAAUGAUAAACAGAAAUAUAGUAAAAUGAAAGAUUUUACAAAGAUACAAUAACAAAAUGCUAAACAUUAAUUUUUUUUUAUGGUAGUUUUUGAUAAUUUUAAGUGUUUAUUAAAUAUUUUACUAUUGUAAUUUAAAAAUUACAUUUGAUAAGCAAUAAUAGGAGAGAGAGAGAGAAUUAGGCUGCGUUUAUUUUUUGGAUUGGAUUGGGAAUCCUGAGGAGUGGGAACCCUAGGAUUGGGAGUGUGGAGUGGGAGUGGGAGUGAGAGUAGGUUGUUUACUUACACUGGAAUGGAAGCAUGGAAUAGAGAUCAGAAUUCAAUUUAUGUGUUUACUUUGUCUUGAAUUGUGAGUAAAUAGUUUCAAAUUAUAAUUUUAUACUUAUUUAAAGAAUUAUAGUUUUUAAUUACAAAACUAAUAAAAAAUAUAUUUAAUGAAUAAUAUUUAUUUUAUUAUAUUUGUAAAUUUAUUAUAAUUAUUAAUAUUCUUAAUUAUGAACAAUAAAUUAUUAAUUUUAAUAUAAAAUGAAACCUUAUUUUAUUUUAUUUAAUAUAAUUAUAUUAAAUUUAUUAUUAUAUAAAAUAAUAAUAUAAUAUUAUUUAGUACAAAAUUAAUAUUUUCUUAGAAUAAACUAUUUAUUAUUAUUAUUAAAUAAAUAUAGUACUAUUAUUUUUAAAAUAAAUAUAAUAAUAUUAUAUUUAUUAAUUCUCUAUUAAUAUAAUAUUAUUAUUUUAAAACAAUUUUAACUUAGAAUCAAUGCAAAUUAUUAUUUAGUUAAAUAUAAUAUUAUUAUUCAAAUAAAUAUAAUAAUAUUAUUCAAAUAAAUAUAAUAUUAUUUAUUUUAUUUUAUUAAUUAUUAUAUUAAAUUAAAUUAAAUUAAAAAUAAAAGGGUAAAAAAGGCAGAGGUGGAAGUGGAUUCCCACUCCCACCUCCCCCAAUGGGAGUCCCACUCCCACUCCCCACUCCAAAAAUGGGUGGAGCCCACGGAAUGAGAUUCUCAAUCUCUUCCCAUUUUGAGGAAGUAAACGCUGGAGUGGGAGGAAUCCACACUCCUCACUCCCACUCCAGCAAGUAAACACAACCUAAAUAGAUUGAGAAUGAUUUUUGAUUCAGGGCGAGUUUUCGAGUGCUUUACGAACAAUCAAAAUGCUAAUCCUAUUAGCCAAUAAACACAAGUGUUUUGUAAAGAACAUUACGGGAAAAACCCUCUAUAUAAAUAACAAUCGUGUAAUUACGGAGGGCGUGUCUUAAUUACAUGGCAGUUACAUUCAAUAACAACAAUAUUACAGUUGUCUUGUACCAACAAAGUGUUAGCUCCACUGGCAAUGGAGUCCCCUUAAGUGGCUUGAUUGGGUUUGCUCCCAAGUUUGAGUCGCAGGGAAGUCGCCUUUGUUGGGAGAACAUGUGCCUCCCGGUUCGAGUGGGGACUUCUAGUCUGAGUUGUGGUACGGACUUAAAAGUGUCUCCCACAGUUGGGGCCCUUCCCAGAAUACCUCAUGAUUAUAUCAAAAAAAAAAAUAUCACAGUUGUCUUGUUCUUUCACUGUUGAUAAUUAGAAUGAGCUGAUGAAGGCCAAGAGACCCAAAGUGAAGUGACCCAUGUGCUUUCCUAAUUACCCUGCUACAAACUAUAAAGCCGAAGUUUGCGGACUUUAUUAUCAUUUAAAAAAAAAAAUAGAUAUACAAAUAAAAAGACAAAAGAUGAGACUUAUAGUACUAGUGGGGGGCCCCCUGGGUCCUCAACUUCUUCAAAUCAAAUGGGCAUUUUAUCGAACAGUGGAUAUACUCGGCAUCUGCACUUGGAAGACGCGUUAAAAAAUUCUACAUCAUGUUAAAGUCAACUAGAAAGACAAAACAUAGAAAGCGACAAUCCAACAACUCAGUUAAAAUAUUCGCUGUAACAAAUGGUUGCGAUGACGUGUAUAUUUGGGAACAUCAAAUAUAAACAAAGACCAUGUGAAAAAGAAAAGCAAAAAGCUAGAAAUGAAAAAAGGGAGUACAGUGAAAGAUCUGCAAAGAAGGUUUAGGACAACGAUUAUUAUGAAAACGGGACCAGAAGAUGUAUAAGGGAUUUCAGAGAAUUUGAGAGAAGUGGGAUGAUUAAGAAAAUGCAGGAGCAGGACAUUUAUGACCUCUAUUAGUAAUUUGAUUUCGUGAAUCAUUUUCAGAAACAAAAUAAUGCAAACAAUUGGAGACUAGGUGAUGAUAAUGAAAGAUCACAUAACCUACUGGAUAAUUUAUGGAAAAUUUAUACUAAUAACCAUAAACAUUUUAGUUUUUUUCAUCUUAAUCCCCCAAACAAAUUUCUAUCAACAUUAGCCAUAAAAGACUCUUUGAGACCAAAAUAUCAUUCUCCCUCAUCUCCCUUUCACGCAUCUCUCCCAAACCAAACAAACACCCAUCAUCGGCACACCCAUCAUCGGCGGCAACAUCACCCAUCAUCGGCGGCAACAUCACCCGUCCAUUUAACAAAACUUAAGUUAGCCAUUUAACUUAUUUUCAUUAAUUUAAAAUGAAAUUUGAGAUUAAUAAUGGUUAUAAUUUGAGAAUAAUGGUGAUGGUGAUAGUGGUGGUGGUGUUUGUGGUGGUGAUUGUUAUUAUUUUGGGAGUAUAUUGAUUUGAGAGUAUAUUGAAUUGGGAAAUGAUUUGGGGAAUUUUAGGGGGGAUGGGGGUGGCAGUGCGCGCGCGCACUCGCGCGGCCCGCUACUGCACCAAUUUGGUGCGACAGCACGGCUCUGUUGCACCAUUUUUGGUGUGACAGGCACAUUUUUGCCUGUCGCACCAAAAAUUACAGUGGUAUUUUUUUUUUACAAGUCAAGUUUUUUUUUUUUUUUUGCUGUAAAUGUAAUGUAAUAAUUUUAUAAAUAUUACAGAUACAUGGCGAAAUCAGAAUCACCGGAUAUCGAAGUAGGCAAGAUGUAUUUUGGUUAUGCUGAUCACUUUCCUAGUCGAAUUUCGAGCAUGUGUAAGUUAUCUUCGGUCGUAAAAGUCAUCGAGGAAAAAUUAACAAAGCGGCAGUUGAAUAUGUUCAAGAAGGAUAUAUUUGGGAAUUUCUUGGAGUGUCGAAGUUUUCCAUUUAGUGGGGUAAUUUUGCACAAUCUUUUACUAAGGCAAGUGGCCCAUGAAGAAGAUAGCCGUGAGGAUCAGUUAUGGUUUCAAAUUGGUGAGCAUUUGAUUCGCUUGUCAAUUGUAGAAUGGUGCUUGGUUACUGGACUUUCAUAUAGUGUUGAUACCCAACUAAGUGAUGACAAAAAGUGGAUAGGCUACGGAAAACAUAAUUUGGUGGUGCGCAUCACAAGAUCAAUGUUAAGGAAUUCGAUGCAUUAUUUAAGGAGUUGAAAUUCGAGGAAAUGGACGAUAUGGACGCAUUAAAGAUUGUGCUCUUUUAUUUUGCGGACAGAGUACUAAAUGCAAAAAAAAGUCACUGUCAAAUCAAUUUCGAUUGGUUUAAUGAAGUUGAUGAUAUACAGUACUUCCGAAACCGUCCAUGGGGUCUUGUGUCGUGGGAAAUGGUAUAUGUUAGUCUUGAUGAUGCACUAUUCGAGAAAGACGAGAAAUUUAAGACGACUCAGUUGAAAAACCCAGAUCAUAACAUUGAAAAGUACAAUCUUUACGGCUUUACGUCUGGUGUUCAGGUGCGUUGUUUUUUUGUUUAUUAAUAAGUUUUAUAGUAUUAAAUAUUUGAUAGAUGUGUUAAUAGAUUUUUCACUUUGGUUGUUGCAGGCUUGGAUUUACGAAGCGAUCGGAGGUUUGCCGUCAACAUGGGUCGUGAAAACGAAGAACAAGAUUCCUCGCAUCGUGUAAUGGAAGUGUUGUGCAAAUUUUAAUGUACUCGCAAGCGCACGAAUCUAUUGUAGUAUAGAUCAAUGGUGACGAGUGUCGAUCCCACGAGGAGGUGGAUUUUAAUUGUGUAUAGAAUUAAUUUUGCAAAUGGUUGAUUGGAUUUGUGGUGGAAAUGAUUUGGAAUAUGCUAAAACUUAAAUUAAAAUGGCGAGAAUAAAUUCUGAAAUUGGAAUUGAAAUGGCGAGAAUAAAUUGAAGAGAAUUCUAUUGAAAUGACGUACUUGGGUAUCUAGAUCCGUAUCAACAUGCAUCAUGGGCUAAAUAAUCCGUAUUAAUGCCAAUUAAAUCAUGAGGGGGGAAUCCACACCUCAUGAACCACGCUCUAAUCAAUAUGGUGCUAAGGGCUUAUCGUGCCAAAUAAUAAUAACCUUAUACUAGAGAGCCGAUGUAACCAAGGCGGUAUCUAGACAAGAUCAGUAUUAUUUGUCGACGAUAAGUCAAAUCAUCCACAAAAACUAGAGGGGAAAAGAAAAUAAAUUUACCAAAUAAAGCCCAUGACACAUGUUGAGACUUCACCUUCAACCCAAGCUUGAAAAGAAAUUAGCUACUCAUAAUUGAACUGGGGGCAAAAUGGGAAUUUAUUAAAAUAUAAAGAAAAUACAAGAUGGAGAAGGAAUUACAGAAAAUGGAUCCCAAAAAUGGAUUCAGAGAUAUCAAAUUAGGGGGGAGAGGCCCCCUUUUUAUAGAUACAUGGAGUAAAUCAUGGCCAUCGGAUUAAAAACAGUUUGGACGCUCAGGAUUGCGCCACGUCAUCAGUCAACAGUCCACGGUUUGACCACGCGGAUGAACAGUAACAUGGUUUGACCCGGAUGAACAGUAACGCGGUUUGACCCGGAUGAACAGUAACACGGUUUGGUUGAAAAUAAUCCUGUGUGAUGCAUGCACCGUACGCGAGAUUUUUUGUCCACUGAUAUGCUGCCACGUCACCAUCAACAGUACAUAAGAAUUUUAGUCCAACAGGAUCGUGACACCUCAUCAGUCAAUGCCACAUCAUCGGUCAAUGCCACGUCAUCAUCCAUCUAUGUGAACAGUAUCGUGAACAAUAACGUAUACAGUACCGUACACGUGAAUAGUUCCGUACAUGUGAAUAGUGCCAUUUUUUCUUUUAUGCCCCUCCUAAGGUUUUCGACUGUCCUGAGUUGAAAAGUGAUGUCCGUUUUGCCGUCUGAUCUCUCCUUUAUUGUGAAAUGACUAUAAUGCCCCUAAAAUACAUAAAAUACUUAAUUAAAAUAACAUACGCGUAAUUACAUCACAAGAAGGUUAAAUACAUAAAAGUAAGAGUUGUUAGUAAGACUUGAAAUGUAAAAUGAUGGUUUUCUCCUUUAUAAAUAUGCAUUUUCUAACACUCAACACACCCCCCAACCAGCUUAUUGCUAGUCCCUAGCAAAUAAAGCGAAAACAAAAUUCAAAUUCAAAAUGAUUUAUUUUUUAUUUUUUAUUUUUAUUUUUUAUUUUUAGAAACACUCGUGUUUAUUCAAUCAGAUUAAUGAUAGCAAUCAAAUAAAAGUAUAAGCAUUAUCUCCAGUCUAAAGUAACAUCACACCCACAUCAACCAUCCACAUGAAUUAGCCCAGUAGACUUUGUUAUAGCUACUUUCAAGAAUGACAUGUCAAACCCCAAAAUCUCACUGGAAGUAGUGACACUCUCACAAAGAAAUUAAAACCCAAUAAACAUAGUCACUUCAAUGAAUGGUAUUUGAGAGAGAAAAUAAUAAAGAAAUGAUAUCACAUGCUCUCACCAAGAUGAAAUAAAUAUGCCCUCAACUUAGAAAUAAUACGAUCUCAAGUCAAAUAAAAUGUUAGUCAACCCACUUUAUUUAUCUUUUUUUUUUCUUUUUUUUCUUUUAUUAUGCAUCACUACAUCUUUUUAGCCCAUAUAACUAGCUUCUACUUCAAACUAUAGUUCCCUAAAAUCAAGAAGGACUUUUAUUAGGACGUAACGUAGGCUAGGGAUAUGGCUAACAAAGAAAGGAAAUAAGGAAAACAAAGUGUAUGUUUGAGAAAAAUGCAGAUUUUUUUUUUUUUUUGGAACUUGCAAGGUGGAUUUCACCUAUUAUUGUUAUUUUUAUUCUUUUGAAACAACAACUUUUGUUUUUGUUUUUGUUUUUGUUUUUUUUUUUGCUUUUAUUUGGCAUAACUUCUCUGAACAACAUAAUUAUUUACAUUUUCUCAAACAUAAAUAGGUGAUGGAACUUAAAAGAUAUUGGGUAAUACUCCAAAUCGGAGUGGGUCAAGAUGAUAAGUUGACAAAGAAAAGGUUUUUGUUCUUUUUUUUUUUUUUUAAAGGCUCAAAAGGGGUAACUAUGGAUAUUUAAUAAAAGGGAUGGCUAGAAAGGCUCAAACGGAUCAAAGAUGGCCUUUCCAUUGUCUUUUAGGGCUCUAAAUAAUUAUCCAUAUCUACUAGUUAGAUGGGCCUCCCAAUGUAGCAACACACAUUUUUUUCUUUUUUUUAAUUUUACCAUAUUAUUUUUUUUUAAAGGGUUAACUUAAAAGAAAUCUAGAGAUCGUGUAUAAAAUAAUAAACUGCUAAGCUGUAUAGAGAAUGGGCAAAAGGGUUACUCUCCAAGAAAAUGAUAGGCUCAACAACUCACUUGGCACUUAUUUAUGACAUGUUCAUUCCUUCAAGCAACUCAUAUUUGUCUCCGACAUCAACAUGUAAAGUAGCAAACAUAGCGUAACAUCACUUAAGACCAAAGAUAAUACAAAUACUAAAAUUUGAAAUUAAUCAUGUUAUCCAAUGUUAAAACAAAUAACACAAUUUUUUUUUUUUAAACAACAUUCUACCCCCCAACCUAUUCUAAACAUGAAAGGACAAUAUGCAUGCAGAAAUGUGAAAAUGAUGUAGAAAAAAUUAAUUAGAAAAAGAAAUUUUUUUUUUUUAACUAAGAAGAUGCGUUUCUAGAGGCACUACACUCCAUAUUCAGCCAUCUUCGACUCAAAAAUUUGAAAAUAUAUAUUUAUAAAGGAGAAAGAGGAAGAAAACGAUUUUUUUUUGUUUUUUUUUUGUUUUUUAAACGAUGAAGAUGCGUUUCUAGAGUAACUACACUCCAUAUUCAGCCAUCUUAAACACAAAAUGUUAGCAACAGUUAGUUUCUACAACAAAAAAUCAGUAAAAACUUAACCAAGAUUCCACAAUUGUCGACUAUUCCCUCCCCCCAACCAGAACGAAACAUUGUCCUCAAUGUUUUAAAGGAAAGAAGUAGAGUUUAGAAUACAUCACCUGGGUGGUGCAACACAGAAGAAAAUAUUUACAGGCGGAGAGUUAUAUCUAAUUUGUACUUCUUACUGCGGCUACUGUUACCAUCAUUAUUUGGUCGCUCCAACACAAAGGUCCAGGGGUCUGGCUCCGGUUUAUAAGCUUGUAACAUAUCAAGUAGCUCAUUAGCAGUGUGAGCACAAAUAAAGAGUUUUUUCACAUUAGAAGGAAUGAAAUAGUUUUUUAUUGCAUGGUUAAGAAAUGCGAUAAAGCCAUCAUAAAAGUUAUUGACAUUUAACAAACCGAUGGGUUUAUGGUGGAUGUGCAGAUGGGCCCAAGAUGCUAGUGUGAUAAGUGCCUCUAGUGUUGCAAGAUCUCCUGGAAGGAAAAUAAAAGCAUCAGCAUGAUUAAGCAUUUCAGUUAUUCUUUCUUGCAUACCUGAGACGACUAACUCUUCUCCAGUUGAUGAGUCAGACGAACUACCCAAUGGUUUUAGGACUCUUGGGAUGAUGCCUAACACUUGACUUCCUCUGAUAAAAGCUGCUUCUGAGACCAUUUUUGAUAACCCUCGGUUACCUCCUCCAUACACCAAAUGUAAUUUUCUCGCUGCUAUGCUUCGACCAAGAUCUAUGGCUGCCUCCACGAACUCUUUAUGUUUGCCAUAGGUAAAUCCAGAAAGCACACAAAUGUUCUUGAAUUGUCUAUUGGGAGUAGCUGCCAUUGUGAUACUUCUCAAAAACAAUUUGUGAGUGCUUGACAAAAGAUAAAUUACAUUUAAGAAUCUUGGUGACAGUGGAUCACAGCUGUGAAUGAGGUAACAUGUCAGUGUCAAAUAACGCGUAAAGCACGUGGCUCGCGAGUCAAAAAGGAAACAGUAAAAAGGAAAAAGCAAACAGUAACAAAAUUAUUAAAGACAAUAAUGCAAACAAUAAAACAACAUUGAAAUGAAAUAAAAUAAUAGUAAAGUAAAAGGAUAUUUACAUGUAGUUGCGACUGUGGCUCACAUCUUCCUCUGGUUUUACGUCCAGAAACGGCUUGAACGCCCUCUAUGGGUCGAGGAUCGGCUUCCCAUCCAGUUUUCUUAUAAACUGACAAACAGGGUCGUUUAUAGUCAGAUUCCCGAGACUAUAUCGUGCAUGCUCUUUCUGGAAUAAUGGCCAUAACCGGAGAAUCGCUCCUUGCACAUAUCCACUGGGAUGCGUUUCAAGAGACAAAAGGAUAUCAUCCAAUGACUCCUUAUUCAAGCCAUCCCUAAUGAAUUGAAUCUUAUCUUCCCUGUUAUCAGACACCAUUCCUAAAGAACAUGGGUUUCUAUCGCAACUCAUUCUGGCACACUUAUGACAAGCAACAGAAAUUCUUCGAGCUCGUCGUUUUCUUGCAUAAUUUCCUUUACCACAACCAGGCAUGUAUGCAAUAAAUUUUGGAGGUAACUCACCUGCCGAUCGUACUUUAGCCUCGAUUAACCAACGGAUGUCAGCAGGUAUGUUAUUCUUCAUGAGUAAUCGCAUGCGUUCGGACCGAGCUUUAUAGAUCGUAAGGAGGGCAUUCUGAGGAAGUGAAGGGAAUCGCUUGUGAAGCUUCGUUAGAAUCUCGUUUCUGUCCAUACUUUCGCCUCAGAAUGUCAGUUAUUGUGGGAAACUGAAGUAACCGACUUGAUUGUCACGGAGUACCGUUAUCCGCCAUUUCACCGGGGUAACAAACUAAAGCACACAAACAGAAAAACAAAUUAAAACACACAAAGAAAAUUAAAAUCGUCCUCUUAUUGAAUUUACCUCAAGCUCCAACUGGAUGUCGUAAACACUUCUCUCAAUGUCUCUGAGUUGGCGUUCUAAACCCUCAACAUAGGUUACUAACUCUGGUGGUUGUAGAGCCCAAAUACGUUGUGUUUUACAAAAUUGAAUCUGCUUUUUGAGAUGAGUUUUGACACGUUGAAGUGGUUUAAGAAUGUUCAGGAGGAACGGUCUAAGUAUGGUACUCAUGAUUAACAAUGAUAAGAAAAAAAAAACUUAAUGGUAAAACAAACACACUUAUGCAAAAAUAAUUUCAAUUAGCAAAAGAAUAAUAAAAAGAAAGAAAGAAAAAUCAAAUCAACAAAAAGAAAAAAAAUCAAUUCAAAUCUGGUGGGUCACUCAAAUUUAUUUCGGUGUCUUCUCCAUGUGGUUGGUACUCAAGAUAUGGCUUUAAUCUUUGACCAUUAACUUUAAACGUGACACCGUUCUUUGGGUCCUUAAUUUCAAUUGCCCCAUGUGGAAAAACAGUAUGAACAAUAAAGGGACCAGACCAUUCUAGAGCGUAACUUACCUGGGAAUAGAUGCAAACGAGAAUUGAAUAAAAGCACUUUCUGACCUGGAGUGAACAAUUUUCUCAUAAUGUGCUUGUCAUGAAAGACUUUCAUUCGUUGCUUGUAAAUUUUGGCAUUUUCGUAUGCAUCAUUGCGAAUUUCUUCAAGUUCUGCCAGUUGUAAUCUUCUUUCUGAGCUGGCUUGCUGCAUGUCAAAGUUGAAUUUCUUGAUGGCCCAAUACGCACGAUGCUCGAGUUCUACAGGUAGGUGGCAAGCUUUUCCAUACACUAGCCUAUAGGGUGACAUCCCAAUUGGGGUCUUGAAAGCUGUUCUAUAUGCCCAUAAUGCAUCAUCAAGUCUUAAUGACCAAUCUUUUCUGUCUGGCCUCACCGUCUUUUCUAAUAUGUGCUUUAUUUCUCGAUUGGAGAUCUCAACUUGGCCACUGGUUUGCGGAUGAUACGGGGUUGCCACUUUGUGUGUGAUUGAAUACUUUGUCAAAAGAGCUUUGAAUGCUUUGUUACAAAAGUGGGCACCACCAUCACUGAUUAUUGCUCGAGGGAAUCCAAAGCGUGAGACAAUGUUGCUUUUCAAAAAUCCUAUCACCACUUUGUGAUCAUUGGUUCUACAUGGAAUUGCUUCUACCCAUUUUGAGACGUAGUCAACACCAACCAAUAUGUAUUGAUGGCCAAAAGAAGAGGGAAAGGGUCCCAUGAAGUCGAUACCCCAUACGUCAAAAAUCUCAACCACUAAAAUUGGAUUUAGUGGCAUCAUGUUCCUUCGUGUAAUACUCCCCAUUCGUUGACACCUAUCACAUGAAGAACAGAAAGUGUAAGCAUCUCGAAAUAUAGUUGGCCAAUAAAAACCACAUUGUAAAACUUUAGUCGCUGUUUUCUUAGCACUGAAAUGGCCUCCACAAGCUUGUUCAUGGCAGAAUGAAAGGAUAUUCUGAAUUUCACUUUCUGGGACACAUCGUCUAACAAUUUGGUCUGCACAAUACUUGAACAAAUACGGGUCAUCCCAAAAGAAAUUCUUUAUUUCUGCAAAGAAUUUAGCCUUGUCUUGCUUGGUCCAAUGCUCUGGAAGUUUACCUGUAACAAGAUAAUUAACUAUAUCAGCAUACCAAGGUAAUACUUCCACAUUCAUUAAUUGUUCAUCUGGGAAUGACUCAUUCAAUAUUAAUGGCUCUGUAAUUGUGUCAAAAUGGAGACGAGAGAGAUGGUCCGCCACAACAUUUUCUGUCCCUUUCUUAUCUUUGAAUUCCAAGUCAAAUUCCUGCAAAAGUAACACCCAACGAAUUAGUCUAGCUUUUGCAUCUUUCUUUGUGAGAAGAUAUUUAAGAGCAGCAUGAUCUGUGAAUAUAAUUAUUUUACAACCAAUGAGAUAAGAUCGAAAUUUUUCCAAUGCAAACACUACUGCUAGCAUUUCUUUUUCAGUAGUUGAAUAGUUCAACUGUGCAUCAUUCAAUGUCAUACUAGCAUAGUAAAUAACAUGGGGAACUCGAUCAACUCUUUGUCCUAAUACUGCUCCUACUGCAUAAUCAGAUGCAUCACACAUGAGCUCAAAUGGUAAGCUCCAGUUUGGGGGCUGAAUGAUGGGUGAUGAUGUCAACAAAUGCUUUAAUUUUUCAAACGCAACAAGACAUGAAUCAUUAAAGAUAAAAGGUACAUCCUUAGCAAGUAAAUUGCAUAAGGGUCUAGAAACUUUGCUAAAAUCUUUAAUGAAACGUCUAUAGAAACCAGCAUGUCCAAGGAAAGAUCUUACUUCUCUGACUGUUUUAGGUGGAGGAAGAUUAGAAAUGAGAUCCACCUUAGCUUUGUCAACCUCAAUACCUUUGCUCGAAAUGAUGUGACCGAGAACAAUACCAUGUUUUACCAUAAAAUGGCACUUCUCCCAAUUCAAGACUAAGUUCUUCUCGAUACAUCUCUGCAGAACUAGUGUUAGAUGAUGUAAACAUUGAUCAAACGAGUCACCAAAGACAGAAAAAUCAUCCAUAAAGACUUCAAGGAAUCGUUCCACCAUAUCAGAAAAAAUGCUCAACAUGCAUCGUUGAAAUGUAGCAGGUGCAUUACAUAAUCCAAAUGGCAUUCUCCUAUAUGCAAAAGUGCCAAAAGGGCAAGUGAAAGUAGUUUUCUCCUGAUCUUUUGGUGCUAUGGGAAUCUGAUUAUAUCCUGAGUAGCCAUCUAGGAAGCAAUAAAAUUCAUGGCCUGCUAAUCUAUCAAGCAUUUGAUCGAUAUUUGAUCGAUAAAUGGUAAAAGAAAAUGGUCUUUACGUGUGACAGAAUUCAACUUUCUAUAAUCAAUGCAUACACGCCAUCCUGUAGUUACUCUAGUUGGUAUCAAUUCAUUAUCGGCAUUCGUAACUACUGUGACUCCUGACUUUUUGGGGACAACUUGUACAGGACUGACCCAUGAACUAUCAGAAAUUGGGUAAAUGAUACCUGCGUCUAAUAGCUUAAGGACUUCUGUUCUAACAACUUCUUUCAUAUUAGGAUUUAACCGACGUUGCAUUUCCCUAGUAGAUUUAGCAUUUUCAUCAAGAUGAAUGUAAUGCAUGCAAUCUGCAGGGUUUAUACCUUUUAUGUCUGCUAUGGUCCAUCCUAAUGCUCCUUUGUGCUCUUUUAAAACAUCCAACAACUUACAUUUUUGUUCGUCAUUUAGGGAUGAUGAGAUGAUUACUGGUAGAGUGCUUUCUUCUCCCAAAAAUGCAUAUUCCAAUGUGUUGGGCAAUGGUUUGAGCUCGAGUUUCGGUGGUGAUUCUGAUGAUGGGAUGAGUUUCUUCUCUGAUGGUGCUAGUUGUUCAACUCUUGACUUCCAUUUAUUAGUGUCCAUGGAUGGUGCUGAGUCAAGUAGGGCGUUGACCUCUUCGAUCGAUCUAUCAAUAUCAAAAUCAAAACUAAAGUGAGUUAAGCAUGUCUGUAAAGGAUCAUCACUAAGGUUUGAAAGAAAAGUGUCAUCAAUUAAUGCUUCAAUUAAAUCCACAUCAACAACUUCAUCAUCUGCAUUAUGAGGUUGUUUGGCAAUGUUGAAAAUGUUUAGUUCCAUAGUCAUGUUGCCGAAGGACAACUGCAUAUUUCCAGUCCUGCAUUGAAUGUGAGCAUCCGCAGUUGCCAAGAAAGGUCGGCCUAGGAUAAUGGGGAUGUGCUUCCUUGAAUCCUGUAUUGGUUGAGUGUCAAUUACAAUGAAAUCAACAGGAAAAUAAAACUUGUCUACCUGGAUAAGCACGUCCUCCACAAUACCACGAGGUAUUUUCGUGGACCGAUCUGCAAGCUGUAACACCACUGGAGUUGGGUGUAAUUCUCCCAGUCCAAGUUUCACGAAUACAGAGUAAGGCAAAAGAUUUACACUAGCUCCUAAAUCCAACAAAGCAUUCUCAAUUGUGUGGUUCCCUAUACUACAUGAGAUAGUAGGGGAGCUUGGGUCUUUGCAUUUUAGAGGAAUUUUAUGUUGGAGUAUAGAACUAACGUUUUCUGUUAAAAAGGCCUUCUUUUGAACAUGCAUAUUUCUCUUUUUAGUACAAAGGUCUUUAAGAAACUUGGCAUAAGAUGGAAUUUGUUUUAUAGCAUCAAGCAAAGGGAUAUUGACACUUACCUGUUUGAAGAAUUCGAGAAUCUCACCUGUGGAUUUUCCCUUCUUUCCUUUAGCUAACCUCUGAGGAAAUGGAGCUUUGGGAACGUAUUCUCGUGGGUUGGUUUCUUCUUUUUCCUCCGGUGGUGAGUCCUCAGCAUUCACAGGUACAAUUUGAUUUUCUUUUGUCACUGGCAUCUCCACUUUGUUGUCGACUUCCUUUCCUUUUCGCAAGGUCAUGACUGCUUUGACCUCUCCAUGCUGUUGUGGUGAACUGGUACUUGCUUCAUGUACUCCUUUAGGAUUAGGCACUGGUUGACUUGGAAAUUUACCUUUCUCAACAGUAAUUGCCAAGGUCUGAACUGAAGAAGCAAGUUGUCCCACCAUCUUCUCGAGGCUUGAAACUGAUUGGGCUUGUGAGUUGAAGCCCGCUCUCAACUCAUUUCGUAGUCCAUCAAUGGUGCGAUUCUGUUGCUCAAUCGUAGAGUGAGUAACAUUCUUGAAAUUCUGGAAUGCAUCCUCCCAUGGUCUGGGUUGAGAGUAGUUCUGGUUCUGAUUGUAUGUUCUAAAUGGGGGCUGAGAGGCUUGAGGAACUUGAGGAAUUUGUUGCAUUGGUGGAGCUAGAGCUGCUGGUCCAUUUUGUUGGAAUCCUUGAGACCAUGAAAAAUUGGGGUGGUCUCUCCAUCCAGGGUUAUAUGUGUUGGAGUAUGGGUUGUAAUUUGAUGGCUUUCUCAUUACACCUAUGGCAUUGGCUUGAUCUGGGUAUGAGUCAUGGUCAUGUGGUUCUGUUGAUUUAGCAGUCGAUAACGAUGCUAUUUGUCGAGAGAGACCUUCAAUUAUCGCUUUGACUUCUUUAAUUUCUGAACUUGACUCGCCAAUGUGAACCUCAUUUACUCCCUUAAUUCUUCUAGUAUUCCUGAGUGAUCGACUCCGUUGUUGGGAAUUAUCCGCUUGUCGCUGGAAGAAUUCCCAAAUCUCUGAUGCACUUUUUGACAUUAGCUCUCCUCCACUUGUUGCCAUUAGCCAUUCUUGCACAUUCGGCAAUAAUCCCUCCAAAAAGUAUUGGCAUUGGUGCCAUUUCUCGUACCCAUGAUGUGGACACUUCAAGAGUAGCCCAUUGAAUCGCUCCCACGUUUCGAAAAACUGCUCGUCAUCUCUCUGGGUAAACUCUGAGAUUUCCCUGCGAAUAGCAUUGGUUUUAUGCACUGGGAAAUAUUUAUUUAAAAAUUUCGUUACCAUUUGUUCCCAUGAUGAAAUGCUAUUAGCAGGUAAAGUAUUUAACCAUGAACGAGCUCUAUCUUUUAAAGAAAAUGGGAAUAGUCUAAGUUUAACAUCAUCGUCUGAAAAAUUUUCAUAUUUAAAAGUUUGACAAAUGGCAUGAAAAUCAUUCAGAUGAUUAUAUGGAUCCUCAUUUUCUAGGCCAUAGAAUGUGGGGAGACAAUUUAGCACACUAGGUUUUAAUUCAAAACUCCUAGCAGCUACAUUUGGGUAUCUUAUGCAUGAUGUGCUCAAAUUAGCUAAGGGACUAAAAUAGUCCUUAAAUGGCCUCUCCUGUGGUGCUUGUAAAUCCAUUCCAAAUUUAUUUUUAAUGUGCUUGUGUGUGCGAAGUGUUUUCUCAAGUUCAAGGUCUAUAGGUUCAAGAUUAGGUAAUAAAGACCUACGACCAUGCAUACAAGGAACACAAAGAUAAAUCGGAACAAAACGAAUAAAAAUAAAGAAAAAGAAGAAAUUACGAUACUAACCUUAUUGCGCUGUUACAACUUUUCUAUAAAAAUACACUAAAACAAAUACGUGAAAUAAAUUAACUAAAAAUAAAUUAAUAAAAAAAAUUACAAAGAAAAAUAACUUAAAAAUUAAAUUGCAGAAUUGUAAAGAAUAGAGAAAGAAAAGAAAUUAUUACCUCUAAUUGCAUAUUCACUUUUUUUUUCUCUUUUUUUUUGUUUAUAAAAAAAAAUACAAGAAAACAAAUAAAAGAAAUUAUUCACAAAAAUUAAUUCUAUGAAUUAAAAUUACUUACCUCCCCGGCAACGGCGCCAAAAACUUGUUGUGCAAAUUUUAAUGUACUCGCAAGCGCACGAAUCUAUUGUAGUAUAGAUCAAUGGUGACGAGUGUCGAUCCCACGAGGAGGUGGAUUUUAAUUGUGUAUAGAAUUAAUUUUGCAAAUGGUUGAUUGGAUUUGUGGUGGAAAUGAUUUAGAAUAUGCUAAAACUUAAAUUAAAAUGGCGAGAAUAAAUUCUGAAAUUGGAAUUGAAAUGGCGAGAAUAAAUUGAAGAGAAUUCUAUUGAAAUGAUGUACUUGGGUAUCUGGAUCCGUAUCAACAUGCAUCAUGGGCUAAAUAAUCCGUAUUAAUGCCAAUUAAAUCAUGAGGGGGGAAUCCACACCUCAUGAACCACGCUCUAAUCAAUAUGGUGCUAAGGGCUUAUCGUGCCAAAUAAUAAUAACCUUAUACUAGAGAGCCGGUGUAACCAAGGCGGUAUCUAGACAAGAUCAGUAUUAUUUGUCGACGAUAAGUCAAAUCAUCCACAAAAACUAGAGGGGAAAAGAAAAUAAAUUUACCAAAUAAAGCCCAUGACAUAUGUUGAGACUUCACCUUCAACCCAAGCUUGAAAAGAAAUUAGCUACUCAUAAUUGAACUAGGGGUAAAAUGGGAAUUUAUUAAAAUACAAAGAAAAUACAAGAUGGAGAAGGAAUUACAGAAAAUGGAUCCCAAAAAUGGAUUCAGAGAUAUCAAAUUAGGGGGGAGAGGCCCCCUUUUUAUAGAUACAUGGAGUAAAUCAUGGUCAUCGGAUUAAAAACAGUUUGGACGCUCAGGAUUGCGCCACGUCAUCAGUCAACAGUCCACGGUUUGACCACGCGGAUGAACAGUAACAUGGUUUGACCCGGAUGAACAGUAACGCGGUUUGACCCGGAUAAACAGUAACACGGUUUGGUUGAAAAUAAUCCUGUGUGAUGCAUGCACCGUACGCGAGAUUUUUUGUCCACUGAUAUGCUGCCACGUCACCAUCAACAGUACAUAAGAAUUUUAGUCCAACAGGAUCGUGACACCUCAUCAGUCAAUGCCACAUCAUCGGUCAAUGCCACGUCAUCAUCCAUCUAUGUGAACAGUACGUGAACAAUAACGUAUACAGUACCGUACACGUGAAUAGUUCCGUACAUGUGAAUAGUGUCAUUUUUCCUUUUAUGCCCCUCCUAAGGUUUUCGACUGUCCUGAGUUCAAAAGUGAUGUCCGUUUUGCCGUCUGAUCUCUCCUUUAUUGUGAAAUGACUAUAAUGCCCCUAAAAUACAUAAAAUACUUAAUUAAAAUAACAUACGCGUAAUUACAUCACAAGAAGGUUAAAUACAUAAAAGUAAGAGUUGUUAGUAAGACUUGAAAUGUAAAAUGAUGGUUUUCUCCUUUAUAAAUAUGCAUUUUCUAACACUCAACAGGAAGCCCAUGGCGUCUUCGAGAAUCAACUUUGCUGAGGUUUAUUCAUUCUUCAACGACGAAUCUCGUAUUGUAAGUAAUAUGUAUUAGUUAUUUUUUUAACUUUACUAAAUUUAAGUUAUGUAUACGUAAAAUUUUCAAUUGAAUUUAUGGCAGGGGGACGUUUUACAAACCCUUGAGCCAAAUUCAAAGGAGAGUAGCAGAAAAUAUUAGCUCACUGUGAAGGAUUACAUGCCAAGCAUUCCAGACUGGGUUCAUAAGGUCGGUUAUAAAUCUAAGUACUAUAAAUUAUAUUUAAUCGAAAUUUUUGACUUUUCAUUUAUUAAUUUUAAACGAUACUUGAUACAACACCAACCCUCAAUCAAUGCGAUGCCAUCGGUUUCAAGGCAAUCAGACGAGCAUGACGAGCAUGACGACAUACCAAACCCAACACCAGAGCAGCGUCAUGACACUUCUGAGGAUGAGGUGGCUGUUGAUGACCACCAGGAGCAGACACAUGCCAACUCUGAUGACGCACAUGAUUCUGAGGUUAUAAAUAAUAUACGAUAUUCUUCUUUUAUUAAUCAUUAUUGUUUUACUGUUAUUGUAAAGAUUUACUUAUUUUCUUUUGUAAUAGUCGAGGACAAAGCAGUUUAAUGAUUAUGUGCGACGACGGCUUGAUAAGAUUGCUCGUAACGUGUAUGAAUUGAAGUCGGAAUUAAAAGAUUUUAAAGAAACCGUGGUUGGCUUUAUCGACACCUUUUCUACACGUCCAAAUAAGGAUUCUCCCACAGGACGCUCGUAUGCGGUGAGCAUAAUUAAAUUUAAUAAUUAUGUUCGUUUAACUUUUAAUUUAAUAGUUGUUUAAUAUGUUCAUCUUGGAGAAUGGAUAGGCCCCGGAUGACUAUGGAGUGUAUACUGACGUGGGCAAUCAAAAUUUGUCUACGCCCACGUCAUUGUAUAGUUUCUACGGGGAUGUUAGUGGGGAGAGCGUGCAGGUGUUCUCUGAGGUGCCUCCAGGCGUUAGUAAGUUCGGCCGCGCGUACAUACUGUCGUAUGUUUAUAACAGUCCUUACAUGAUUCCUCCACUCAGGCGAGGAAAGAACGCCCGGCUUAUACCUCGAUCCCAAAUCAUGGACCAUGCCCAAGACAUGAAUACGAGUGUAGAUAUAAAUCCACUGAGAGGAUUGGAGGAUUCUAGUCUGUUUACUGAGUUUGAUCGAUGGUUCGCUGGUAAUAUGACAGUGGUUCGGAGAGUCCAGCACCCGCGGUCAUUUUUUCAAAUACUUUUGGGUUUAACUUCGAUGGGAUGGCUAGGCGAUGAGGUAAUUAUAUCUUCGAAGUUCUUUGAGUGUUGUGGAUUUGUGUAUAAAUUUUAUUUUUUAAAUCGUAAUGUUUCUGUUUCUCAACAGCAUAUUCACGAGUAUCUUCGCUUGAUUAGCGAGAAACAACGGCAGUAUCUGAAUGCCUUAGUUCAACGUGUCACACAUACUGACACAUUUUUUUGGGUAACGUGCCGACAAAACUUAUAAAUACUAUUUAUGUUUUUUUAAUUAUUGCCUUUAAGUUUUGUUAAUUUAUGCAUUUCUUGGUUAUCUGUGUACUAGGUGUUCUUGAAUCAGUUAUGGAACAACGGGGAUUGUGCGGUCGAUUCAUUAGUAUUCGACGACUGCUUGAAUAGUUAUCUUUGUGGGCAACAGCACACAAUGUCCAAAUCAAUGACGGAUAUCGAUAUGGUAUGUAUUUUAUUGCAUUUCACAUACUCCAUAAUGAAAAUAUCCAAGUUGUCGUUUUUUCUUGGUUGUAUUUCAAUUUCAUAUAUAACGGGCAUGUUUUUCAAUUUUUAUAUACAGUUACUUAUCCCUGUUAACUUGGACGGUGCGCAUUGGGUAGUAGCACGAGUUGACCUUCGGAAAAACAAAGUAUGAAUUUAUGACUCAUUACUCACAUUUCGCGACGACAAAGGUACUAGUUGAAAUUCAAGCCACUUGAAGUUAUAUUCCCUCGAUGGUUGGAAUAUGUUGGCUUCUACAACAUCCGACCUGAGUUGCGGAGUGCAGACCCCUGGAAAGUUAUGGCAAUUAAGAGCGCGCCACAACAAGAGCCCGGAACUGGCGAUUACGGUGUUUUUGUAUUGAUGGUUAUGAUGUAUUUAAUGUUCGGGCUUAGAUUGGAGUUUAACGCUAGUCAUGUCGAGUACUUUAGAAAGAAGAUUGCGGUUGACAUAUUUAAUGACGAUAUUGUAUUGUAAACUGUUGUAGUAAUUUGAAUGUUGAAACUUUAAUUUUUAUUUUAAUUUGCGCACUUAAGUUUAUAUAAUUUUAAUGUUCACGUAUAAGUGUACAAUACACAAAAAACAAUAACAGUUAUAACCAACGAAACACAAAAACAAUAACAAUUUUAACCAACAAAUCAUUGAAAUAAUACAACUAACUUCGAGUCGACGCAAUGGGAUUCUUACAUCACUUACGAUUAUGGCCCAGUUCAUGACACCGCCCGCAUCUUACAGUCCGUCGGUUAACGUCCUCACCAGCCGAGGGUAUUCUGAGCUCUUUACGACGGCCAAGUGGUGGUGCCUUAACUGGUGGGUAUACUUGCAUCUCCUGAAUUUCAUCUGGAACUUUCCAAUCAGCCACAUCACCAACUAGCUCCACUGGUUGUGCAUAAGCCAUCGUCAACGAUUCUGUAGUGUAAACGUCCGAGCAAAGGUUAAUAAAAUCCACCUGGUGUGUUAGAAACGCCGCAAUUGCAUGAACACAUACAAGCUGAUCAAGCUGAAAUACUCUGCAGGAGCAAGUUUUCUUUUGCAAGUCAACCAAACCUUCCUUAAGCCCACCAUCUAUAACUUGAAAUCGAUGCGGAGACACUGGCCGAACUAUCAUUUUUUCAGCUAUAGUUCUCCUCUCAGUGACUAUUUCAUCCGCCCAUGUUGUUAGCCGAGUACUCAUUGAUUUAGCCACAAUUUUUCUAUCAUAAAACCAUUGCUGCAACGUUUUCCUAAAGUGAUCAACAAGAUGAGUAACAAGAAAUUUUCGCGGUUCCCUCAUGAAAGAGUUAACACUCUCCGCGAUGUUGGUGGUAAGUAUACUGUACCUCCUACCUUCAAACUGAGACCUUGCCCAAUUACACGUACCGACAUUAUUUUCUAGGUAGUCAGCCGCACCCGAGUGGAUCAUCCACAACCCUUCAAGUUGUCUCUUAAAUUCCUCGUGGCCAUAUGCUUUUGCUGCAUUAAUAAAGGCAGGCUCAAAUUGAUCCCAAAGAGCUUUUGACAUUCUAAAUUGUGACUUAAUGUUAUAUUUCAUGUGGUAAAAACAAACGCCGUGAGUUGCAUUGUGAAAUACUUUAAGAAUGGCUCUCCUUAUGGCAGUGCAUCGAUCAGAUAUAAUUACCAACUCAAGUCUAUCGCCAAUCACUCCGUGUAACUUCAUCAUAAACCAUUCCCAAGCAUCAUUGUUUUCUGAAUCCAUGAUCCCAAUGGCUAACGGAUACAAUUGAUUGUUACCAUCAAGACAUGUUGCCACGAACAUGCUUCCACGAUAUAGCCCCUUGAGAUGAGUACCAUCUACAGCAAUGACAGGCCGAAUGUACUGCAUAAAACCCUUGAUGGAAGAUUCGAGUGCUACAAAAUAGUACAAGAAAUUACCAUCUCCAUCCUGCUCUAGGUGAGUGACUGUACCCUCAUUCGCUGUAGUUAGUACGUAAGAGUAUUUAGGGAGCAAGUUAUAUGACUCUGCAGGGUUGCCUCGAACAAUUUCAAGACUAACUUCUCUCGCCCGAUAUGCCUGCUGGUAUGUUAACUGAACACCGUAUUCUUGUUGCAUAUCUGCUCUUAUGUCAUUCGGAGUAUAAAUUCUCUUGUCUUGAAUAUAUUUAUCUGCGAUAAUAUGACCGACAACCCAGCUCCUAACUUGAUGACGUCCAUCAACCAAUACCUCAUUAUGACAAGUGUGUACAUUAUCAAUUCUCCGCACCACCCAAGGAACAUUUUGCUCGUUCGAACAUCUAGUUGCUCGAAUACACCAUUUACAUGAUUCUGAACAACAAUGAGCCUCGAAACGUGUCGUAGUAGACCGUGCAAUCUUGAAAUCAAACUUAUCCCGAAAGGCAACUUUGCGUAGUUGUAAUAUAAACUCAUUCUUCUCAGCAAGUAGCUUACCCACACUGAUAUCAUCUGAGUCACAACUGCUAUCAAAGCUUGGAGCAACCAUGUUCGAAGGCAAAGUUGGAGCAAGACUUGUGAAGGGGUCAAUUCUCCUUCUCGAUCAAACCAUAGAAGGAAUAGGUCUAUUGUCUAUGUUAUUCACACGAGUAUUGUCUUCACACUCAUCCUCAUGCUGAAACGACGGAACAUUCAAAGGACUGACUCCUCCAUCAUCACCAUCAUUAUUGAAAUGAGUGCCCCUCAUAUUAUUAGAAGGUUCUGCACAAACAUUAUCCCCCUCUGUCUCAUCAUGAAAAUCAUCAUUGUCCCGAAAAUCAUUGUUGUGAUACGGAGAAUACCAUUGCUCCAACGACGUCGUUAUUGGAAAUACCGUUGCUCCAACAUCCUGUAACGUAACGUCGUUAUCAUCAAUGUUGUCAUAAUUGUCGUGGAUUGGAGAGUAAUAUUGCUGCAGCGAUAUUGUCCUUGGCAACACCUCUUCUUCAUUAUCGGGGCCAGACAUAUUUGCUCUAAACGAAGUUUCUGUAUCGACAUGUGGCUCAAUACCUUCGCUCGGAACUCGAGGUGAUGUGGUCACAAAUAUAGGAAUGCAUCCAAAAUUAGCUACGUCGGAUGCCAUAUGUAACACAACUCUCACAAUUUCAUCAUCAAAUAUAUCCAUAGGCAGUGCACAUACACGAUAUAAUGUGUUACUAGACCUCAAAGUUGUCUUCAUUGUGAUACUAUAUUCAUUAGGAUUAAUUUGUAACACAUCGUAUACUCUUGCCAAUAACUGAUCAAAAAGAUAAUUUUUCCCAACCAAAAAAGCUCUAUUUUUACCAUUGACAUACUCCAUACGCCCAUCCUCUAAUGUCUCCCACCAACCAUCGUAACACAAUUUAAGUACAACUGAAUCCAUUAAGCCUGAAAUUAUAAAAAAAAUAAAUUAUUUCAGCCCUAUCAAAUUAAUAGUUAAUUACAAUGAACCUGUCGCCAGAUUCACCCACGAAACCAUCCGCAGUUCAGUCAAACUCACGACCAAGUUUAGAAAAUAACGCAUACCACUAUGUGAUGCCGAUUAGUGUUGGAUCCGGAUAAAUUAUGAUCGGAUUUCACUUUUUAUCGUUGCCUUUUGCCGUUGCCGUUGCCGUUGGUUGAUGAUUCAAGAGUGGGAAGUUGCCUUUGGUUUGACGAAAGGGGAGAAAGAAAGCUGCUUUUGGUUUGUAAAGAAGGGUAAUUUGGGGAGAAAAGCGUGAGUUUGGCUAAUGUUGAUAGAAAAAAGUUGAGAGGGUUAAUUGUGAAAAUAACAAAAGUUUUAUGGUUAUUUUUGUAAAUUUCCCAUAAUUUAUACGCAUUAAUGUGGAAUCGACAAUUCUGAAUCAUGUUAAAGUCAACAAAAAGACAAAACAUGGAAAGCGGCAAUUGCUAUAUUGCGUUGCAUGUAUUUUGGGUUCAUCAAAUACAAACAACGACCACGUUAAAAGAAAGCGUUCUGCUUGGACGACAAAGGGACGACAGAAACAUGAGUCCCUUUGUCUGUUGCUUCAACUCCAUUCAUUAUCUUUUGUCUGUUAUUUUUUUUAUUUAAAAAAUAAAAAAAAUAUUAAAAUAAUGAAAAAAAACCACAAAAGUAACGAACAGAGAUUCAAAUAGCAGCACGUUUUUUACAAUCAAUUUUUCUUGUUAUCCUCUCUCUCUCUCCAUCUCUCACCUCUCAUUUAACGUGAGCCAUCUGCAUUUAACAAGGAAAAACCAGUUCCCUCUCUGCAUAAUGGAAUGUGUUUUAUAUAUGUUAGGAUUUUUUUUUAAUUUAAAUGGCUGGAAAUAAUGGAAUAAAUUAUAACAAUUUCUGAAUGUGUUUUACAUAUGUUAGGAUUUUUCUUAAUUUAAAUGGCUGGAAAUAAUGGAAUAAAUUAUAACAAUUUGUAAAUGUGUUUUAUAUAUGUUAGGAUUUUUUUUAAAUUUAAAUUGUUGAAAAUAAUGGAAUAAAUUAUAACAAUUUCCGGAUGUAUUUUAUAUAUUUAAGUUAUUAGGAUUUUAUAAUUUAAAUUGCUGGAGAUAAUGAAAUAAAUUAUAAAAAUUUGUGGAUGUGUUUUAUAUAUUUAAAUUGUUAGGAUUUUUCAGCAAUUUAACGAAGUGCUACCGUUUCCAAACGAGGAAAAUGAGUGGAGGGGCUAUGGAGAUGAAUGCGCGUAGAUCGAGGCUGAGCUGGUGGCCAAUGAGAAUCGUACUUUGCUAACCAAGCUUGUGAAAGGGAGGGAAAAGCACCAACCGCCCAGGAAUGAUGACCAAUUGCUGGGGGUUGAUUUCCUCUUCCUUCUAGAUGAACGGAAAGGGAAGAACGAAGGAGGGGAGUAAACUAAGGACUGGAAAAUCUGGCUGGGGAGGGAGGAGAUAAAAAGCUGAAAUUUGACCUGCUUUCCAUUUCUAAAUUCUUUAUUUUAUUAUUUAUUAUAGACCCACAUAAAACUAAAAGAAGAUUAAAAAAACGCGUGAAACGACAGUGGGAGCUUGCGUUUCUGUCGUCUUUUUAUUUUCUUUGAGUUCGUUUAUCAUUUUUCUAAAAGAGUUAAAAGAAAAGCAAAAGCUGACGAGAUUGGUAAAGACAUAUCAAAAGAAAGACUAAUAGAGCUUUCCCAGCAGCAUUAAUCAUGCUUAAUUGAUAAUAUAGAGGUAAUAAAUGAUUAUAUUUUUGGUGGAAAACAGAAGAGAGCACGUUACAAGAGCCGAUUGCUUUCUUUAUUUUUUGUCAAUAUUAAACCAAAAAUACAGGUCAAUGAAAAAAAUUGAAAAUAACGCACCAUCAAGUCAACCUUGGUGCAGAAAAAUAUUAACAUUUAAUGAACUUAGAGGGAUGAGUUGGGCCAAGUCUUUAAAUCAGCUCUGUCGUGGAAUAUAACAGGAAGAUUAAAAGAAAAAUCAAUCAACUACAACUAGUAUCUAAUAUAAUGUUUUCACGCAUCUUUUAUAAAUUUAUUGGGACACACUAUUUCUGCUAAUUGAAGAAAAUCAAGAAAUGCUGAUUCCGUCAUGGCUUAGUUUCAUGUUAAUGAAAGUUUAAAGCGAUCAGAUUCAUAUUCAUUAAUAUGAUUUUAUACGAAUCCCUGUGUUUGAAUAUAAUAAUGGUUUCAGAAAUGCAUACCUGUUAGUUCUCCAUUUCUUGACUCCGAGGAAAAUUUGACUUGACAGAUGAAGCAAUGUUAUAAGAGGUUUGAUUAUGGGUCAAUUUGUUGCAAGCAUUUCAACAGACGGGUGAUAUGCGUACACAGCUUCUACGCUACCAAUACCAUGCUUACCCCAUAGCUGCUUCCUGUUGUAAAACGUUGCUGACAUGUCAUCAUACUGGACAGACCUUCCGAGGUUAUUCUUCGAAGCGUUUCAUGAUGCCACGUGUACUUGAUUAUUUGACUAAUCACGGUUCACAAGUUGAGUGAGCUACUCACCAGUCACCAAACCACCUUCCUGCUGCAAAGAAUCUUAACUGAACUUUGACUUGGUCAGAAACUCAGAAUUAGUGGUGCACGUGAUGCUUACACGUGAGGACCCAAAUGACGAAUUCCAAAAGCUGAAUGAUGUAUGUGUGAAUUAAAUAUAACUAUUACGCUCUAGUACGUGUAUGUCAUAUGUACACUAAGUGGGUGUAGUGCAACGAAGGUGCUCUAUAAUUUUUCAGUGAACACAAUAUAAUCAUCAAAGUGAAAGAAAAACUUUUGAGGUUUUGGUGUAUUCAUUAGUGAAAUUUGAGCCGAAAAGAAAAAUUUUUAUUUGUAAACAUCAAAACCAAAAUCAUUUGGAUGUAGUUACCGAAAUUGAUUAGGUCAUUAAUCAUUGCAUGAAUGUUUUGAUUUUAAUACCAGUGGCAAUCACGUACAUGUUUAAUGAUUUGAUUAAAUUUGUGUUUAGUUCUAUAAAUGAUUUAACUAAAAAAUUCAAAAAUGUUUAAAUAACAAUUUAACUAAAAACUUAUUAUUAAUUAUUGUUAAUAGAUUAAUUAAUUACAAUACUUUUUAUUAUUCUUAUUAAUAGUAAUUACAAUAAACUAGUAAUUAUAAUUAUAAUUAUAAUCCAUUUAAUAAUUAUUAUAUUUUAUUUAAAUGGAGGGUAGUUUGGGAAUUUUAAAAAUAUAGGGGAUGAAUUUGAUACGUUAAGGGUUUUAAUGAAAUAAAAUAGAGUACAAGGGGCUGAACGAAAUGUUACAAUACAGAAACUUUCAUAUACUUAUUGAUAAAUUGUAAAUACUAUAACGUAAAAGGGGCUGAAAAAUAUUUUACAGUAAGAAUUCAAAAAGACAAAAGCAGCUGUAACUGUAACUUAGAGGAUGCUUAAAGUUUUUAAUGAAAAUCUUUAGUUGUUUAAUUAUCAAAAAAAGCUUUUAAAAAAAAGUUGUAAAUUAAACUUACUUUAGUAACAGGUUUAUUAAACCUAGACUCAUCUACCUUGCAACGGCUGCAAGGUACAACUAAUUUUUUUUUUUUUUUUAUUUUCAUUCCUUUACCUUUGGAUUUAAUGAAAAGUUAAUUUCAAUGGUAGAGAUUUGUCCAUUUGAAUACUAACAUUAUACUCUUGAUAAGUAUUAAAAACACAAAAAAAUGAAAGAGUUAAAAUUUUUAGCACAUAAGUCUUUAUUGUUUCCAAUUUGUAUUGUUUAAUUAGUAGUAAGUCUUAAAAAAAUAUUUUAAUUUUAAUAUUAUAUAUUUGAUUUAAAGAAUGAAUUUUUAAUGUUAUUUAUUUUAUUAAAAAUAAAUAUUAUUUAAUAUUAUUUAUUUUCAUUUUAUUUAAUUUUAUUUAGUGUAUGCUUAUUAUUAUAUUUAUUCCUCAAAAAACUAAAUAAUAUUAAAUAAAAUAAAAUAAUCAAUAGUGAAUCAUAAAAAAUAGAUAUAAUUUUUAAUUAAUAUUAUUUAUUUUAUUUUAUUUAACGUUUUAUAGUCAUAAACUUAUCAUUAUAUUUAUUCUUUCAUAAAACCAAAUAAUGUUAAAUAAAAUAAAAUAAUAGUAAUGUGUCUUAAAAAUUAAUAUUAUUUUUAAUAUUAUUAACUUUAUGUUAUUUAAUAUUAUUUAUCCAUAGGCUUAUAAUUGUAUUUAUUCUUUUAAAAAACUAAAUAAUAUUAAAUAAAAAAUAAUCAAUCGUGAACCUUAAAAAAUAAAUAUUAUUUUUAAUAUUAUUAACUUUAUUUAAAAAAUUAAUAUUAUUUAAUUUAAUUUAAUAUUAUUUAUUCAUAGGCUUAUUAUUAUAUUUAUUUUUUAAAAAGUUAAAUAAUAUUAAAUAAAAUAAAAAAACAAUAUUGAGUCCUAGAAAAUAAAUAUUAUUUAGUUAUAGACUUAUUAUUAUAUUUAUUCUUUUUAAAAAGAUAAAUAAUAUUAAAUAAAAUAAAAUUACAUUUUAAAAAGUCACCAGCCAAAGUAUAUAUAAACUUAUAAAUAAAUAUAAAAAAAUAAUAUUAAAUAAAAUAAAAUUACAUUUUCAAAGGUCACCAGCUAAAGUAUAUAAACUUAUAAAAAAAGGGUAAAUAAGAAGGAUAAUAAGAGGUUAAAUAAAAUUUAACAUACAUAACAUAAGACAAAAAAUAGUGGCACCUUGCAACUGUUGCAAGGUAGCUGGAUCCUAUUAAACCUAUAUGUUAUAAAACAAAUGACAUAGGAUUAUGAUGCAGUGAAAUAGGUGUAUUUUAGAAAAUCUAAUUCUUUUAAAGAGCUCUACAACCUAUCCUCCUAAAAGUCCAAAAUUUAAACUUCUCCUAAUAAAGACAAAAUAAUAUUUUUAAUAAACUCUAUUCAAUUUAUAGCCAAACGAUGCCAAAAAAUAUUCAAAAGAAAAAAGUUACUCUCUUGAUCCAUUAGUAGAGAAAUCAUACAAAAUGGACACUUAAUGGUCAGUUUUUUUUUCCCCCUUUCUUUUUGUAGUUUUACUUUUCCUAUAAACAUUAUUGUUUAGGAAAUAAUAAUAACACUACAUACUCUCCACUAACACAUUAAUUAAUUAAGAGUAUUUCCUCACUAGCACGCAUUUAAUUAUCAAAUGAUUAUCAAAAGUAUGGCUAAACUUUGGUAAUUAAGAAAACAAGUGAUAUUGGUGGCAAACUGGCAAUGACAAGAAAAUUCUAAUACCACAAAAAAAAAUUAUCAGUUACGUAACAACUGAAUAAUUAAUUAUAAAAGUGUUGUACGUACCUUAUCUGUCAAGUCAUUGGCCGUACUUUUAAGUUCAACACCAAUUUAGGACAUCUCACUAUUUGUAAUUCUUUUAAAAAUGGAAAUUCAAAGUGCAGAUCUCCUGUACAGCAGAAGCUUGUGAGAUUUCCAAGAUCUGUUAUCUUUAGAUAUAGUAGCUGAGGGAACAUUACAAUACUAUUAAUCUUGAAUAGGCCACCGCUUAUGAAAUUAGCCUCUGUUUGUAAAAUUAUAAAUUCUUUAAGUUCCCUACCUUCUAAAUGAUUGUAACUCAACUCUACAGUUGAAUAGGCCACCGCUUGUGUCCCAGAGAAGCUUCUCAAAAAAGGCCUUUGUAAUUGUCGUAAAGCAUUCCUCCAUUCAUAGAGACUCUUAUUUUUCAACGCCUUUGCUACGGGUACAAUGGCAAUGGGCAAACCAGCACAUUCCUUGACUAUAUCUGUCGCUACAGAUUUUAGUUCACUAUUUUCUAUGCAAUCACCUGCCAUCUUCUUAAAAAGACUCCAAGCUUUCUUUCUUAUUCAAAAUAUCGACAAAAGAAUUAUGUUGACAAUCCAUCUUACAAGACAACACAUCUAGACUUCUUGCUGUCAGCAGAACUUUACAUCUGCUGUUAUCAUCUGCUAAUGGAAUUCCAACAGCCUCCAAGUCAAGACUCCCCCAAAUAUCAUCCAAGAUUAUAAGGAUCUUCUUCUCUACUUUCAAUCUUUCAUAUAGCCUCCCUGCUCUAACAGUUUCAAUCUCUUCAACUAAUCCCAAACCUAUAUUCUCUGCAAUUUAUUCUUGUAUCUUCUUUAUUUGUGGUGUUUGGGAUACUUGCGCAGAAAUGACCUUCUCAAAGAGAUUAUUUCCCUUGGCUUGCCCAGCGACUUCCUUCACCAACAUUGUCUUUCCAAUGCCACCCAUCCCGUAUACCCCAAUCAUGUUGAAGUUAUGAUUGCUUAAUGAGCCUAGUAUUUCCUUCAAAGUGGAUUUUCUUGAUUCAAAGUGAAUGAAACCUUCGGUAGACUUAAGCCAUAUCUCCUCUGGAAUUGUACGGAAAGAAACGCUGUCAAAUUUCCUUUUUUCAUGGAGUCCAACAAUGGCAUUCACCUCCCUUUCUGCUUUCUUGCUAAGCUGGUAGUGGGUCUUCAAAUUGGGACACAACCCAUUAAAACACCGGUUGUUUGAUUUUUCUUCAACUUCUGUAAGCUUCCUAACUUCACUGAUGACCUUGUCCACACUAAUCAGCCACUCCUCAACGUGCUGUUGAAUUCCGUCCCCUUUGAUUUUGGAAUCAUCUACUUUAUACUGUACACUGUCUCUAGCAUUCUUUAGUUUAUCAACAUCAUUCUUUAGUUUAUAAACCAGAGGUAAUAAAUGAUUAUAUUUUUAGUGGAAAACAGAGUACGUUACAUGAGCUGAUUGCUUUUGUCAAUAUUCAGCCAAAAAUACAAGUUAAUCAGAAUAACCUACCAUCAAGUCAACCUUGGGGCAGAAAAACUAGUAACAUUAAAUGAACAUAGAGGGAUGAGUUGGGCCAAGUCUUUAAAUCAGCUAUGUCAUGGAAAAUAGCAAGAAGAUUAAAAAAAAAAAAAAAGAAUCAAUCAACUAGUAUAUACGGGAUAUCUCGGUGCAAAACAGAGUGCUAAGAGAUAAAAAUUAACCUGGCAUCUUUGCCAGGUGUUUAUAAUUGCUAAGCUUGCUACAUUCCAUUGCCAACUUUGGCCGUCUGGUAGUUGCUUAUUGAAGAAAACAAAGGAAUGCUGAUUCGAUCAUGCAUAGUUUAAUGUUAAUUAAACUUAAAAGCGAUCAGAUUCAUAUUCAUUAAUAUGCUUUUAACGACUUAGUUAAAUUUAUAGCAACUAAUAAGUAUCCAACUUUGCAACCGUAUUUAUUUCUCAUGAUUUGAUUAAACUGAGCACUCCGAAAACAUCAGUUCCUUCCAUUGUUGUAAGCUGAGUGAUACAUGUAUGAUUUGAUUAAACCGUAUUUAUUUAUAUAUUGAAUGCUACUUCAAUGAAUUUUACUGCCGCAAUAAUACUAAAUGAUUUUUCAUUACAAAAAAAUUCAAUAAUUAGAAUGAUUAUAAGUUAAUUUAAUGCUGAAUUUCAUCAUUAACUGCUGAAAUACUCCAGAAAUCCAAAUACAUUUAACUAAACAAAAAUUUAAUCAAAUCAUUAAACACACAAUCUGAAAGCGGAUUCAAAAUAACUUUAAUAAAAAAGCCAAAAGCAGAACAAUCAACAAAGAAACAGAAGAACCUCUCACCAAUGCCAUCUGACCCUUGAUAGAAAGAAAGAGGUCAAGCUCCAUGUAAUAUAACGCCUCACAAAUUACACAAAAAAAUGGCCGCAUUCCAUAUGAUGCAUAGAACGUGGCCUGAAUCCUCUUCGUAAGUUUGGAAUUUCUGGAGAAAAAUACACAAUGAAGGUGAAAUCAGGAAAAUAAGGAUAGUGAUAUUUCGUGCAAUUUUCAUGUAAAUUGCAGGAAUUAGCUUCUAUUUGGUAAGCAGCACAGGAUGCCUAACUGUUAUUAUUACUAUUACUAUUAUUUACACGGAUUGGGUUGGGUGAGACAGGUUGACUAUAAUUAACCCAACCCAACCCAAUUAUUAAUUGGAUUAGAAAAAUUUUACCUAAUUAAGUUCAUAAUAAUUCACUCAAUCCAUAAAAAUUUGAUUAGGUUGGACUGGUUCUUCAGGUUGGAUUGAGUUCAUCGGGUUGGAUUGAGUUUGCCUACCUCUAACUCUUGACCCACAUUAUUUAUUUUUAUUAUUUAGUAAUUUCAUUCAACCAAUAAAUUUAAAUUUUAUCAAUUUGUAUAAAAUAAGUUUAUACAAGAGCUUUUAACUCUAUCAUCACUCAUCAAACAAUGUUAGAUGAAACAAUAAAUAAAAUAUACAAAGGUAUCAUUAAAUCCAAAAGCAUCCAAUGUGUCAAAAAAUAUCCUAUCAUUUGAGAUAAAAUAUUAAAAUAUUAUUUUCAAAAUCAAUAACGAUAUAAUCACAAACAUUUUAAUAACAACUUGUGUAAACAAACUAAUAUGGCAUAAAGACAUUAGCUAGAAGGCGAUAACUAUUAUUUUUGUAAAUUAUGUGGGUCUAUAAUAGUUUUAUACAACCAAUCUUCUCAUGCAACAUCUGUAUGAUAUAUAUAUAUAUAUUUUUUAUAAGGUGGUUGUGGCUCUAUAUAUCCAAGUCGUUGUUCAACUUCAAGAGAUUCAAAUUUUGUGAAAGAAGCCACGAAGAAAUUUUACGCCAUUCAACAGUGUUAUUGCUUAUUAUUUAUCUUUGUGUGCUUGGAUUGUAAAUUUGACAGGAAAAUGGUAGAGACCUUGGAGGAAUUGCAGAAUUUGUUUGAAUAGAUGUUUCAAGGAGACACCAAUGCUUUCGGGCCUAAACUUAUUGUGAUUAUUUCAUCUGUACUUAGAUUUGAACUAAUCGGUUCUAGAUCAGAUGGGUCAUUGUAUCAUCUAGGAAAGAGGGAAAGUAAACUAAGAAGGUUUUUGUGAUGGUAUGUUAGCUUAUAUAAAUUUCCUUUCUUUAAUAAAAUCUCACUUUGUUUUUAGGGGAAAUUAACAAGAUCGGAUGGUGGAUUGUGCUGCUGUGUUAGAUGACAUUUUAAACAAUGUACUUCUGGCUAUGAAAUAACUAGCUAUAAAUGAUGUUUUGAAAGUCACCUAGUAGUGUGUGUUGAAAUGGUUUAAUCUUCAAGGUUUUUUUUUUUUAAUUGCAAAUAUUGAUGCUAGAGAAGAGAACUCGAACCAUUUUUGAUGAUUUAGAAUGUUGUAACCAUAAGAAGCUUCCUUGUCAUAAACUGGUGGCUCAGAUUAUUGAAAUGUUCAAGAGAAAGCUAAUCUUAUUGCCCAUUGUAUAUUAUUAGACUCCCUUUUGUUGCAAUCUUGUGGUUGAGCAGGUCUCAAGAUUCUGACCUUUUUCACCCUGCUUUCUGACUGAAGAAUUUGCCUAUCAUUGUCAAGUGUUUGGCAAUUGGCCACCAUCUGCUGUAUUCAUUAUGAAGGCAUUGUAAAUUUGAUCUCUUAAGAAGGGGAGAAACUGAUCAAGCUGAUUGGUUAUACUCAUUGUAUGCCACAAGUGCUUUAUCAAACCACAACAGGCAACACCCGUGCGAAGGGCGCAAGCCAGAAUUGAUAGCUGCACCAGUAUCACCAAGAUACUCCUUUUCCGGUCCAUCUAUAUCUUACCGAUGGCAUUUUUACUAUUCAUCCUCUGUACUGUUUGUUUCUUUAGCAAAUUUCUUUCUGUAUUAUGAGUCUUAAUAAAAGUUUAAUUGUAGACAGCUUUUUUGCCUUGAAAGUCUAUUUUAAACCUUUCAAACCAAUUAGCUCCAUUGGGAAACUUAUGACUUUAUAGAAAUAUUUGUUGCAUUUUGUCACUGAUGGUCAGUCCAUAAAAUUAGUUGACUGAUAGUGUCAAGCAGUUAGCAGUACAACUUUCUACCAGUGAUAUAAUUCUUUUCAUUCUGUAUUUUGUUCGACAAUUAAUUCGAUUCCAUUAUGUCAUUAUAUGUGCUUGAUUGAGUUGCAUGUUCAUGCACAAUAAUUUCCCAUCGCGGCGUUCCUAAGCUACUUUAUAAGACUUGGAUUUGUCUUUAACUAGGAUAUGGCUUUUUUUGAGUUGAAAAGCCUACUGUGAAAGUUAUCUGCUCAAAGCAAAAAAAAAAUUGUUUCCGUGGGAGGGAAAUUAAAUUUUGGCGAAGUUUGCUUUGGGGAUUUUGAAGAUAACCUGUAAAUUUGUUACACAUAUUGAGUGAUUCAAGGUUUUCAAUACAUUUCUUCCAAGGAAUAAGUUUUGUUUGGCUUCUCAAACUGUGCUUCUAAUCCAAUAUCUUAACUACGGCCGCCAAAAAGCUAUUCACUGUUAUAAUGGAUUGUUAUUGGAAAUAAUCAAAGAAAGCCUAUGAAGAAUUAGAAUAAAAGCUAUAUUUUGUCUUUGUGAAGGGAAUAUCUGACAGCCAAUCCACCGAUAUUUGUUUCUAUUAAAACCUAUACUUAUUAUAGCCUCAAUCAUUUCGAGACAUACCGGAGAAAUCUAAUUUAAAAAGUUGGUAAAUUUUAAUUCAUUCUCCCGAUAGAACAACAAUCUUGAUUUUAUCACCUAAAAGAGUGAAAAUAUCAAUUUAGCCUUCAUUUUCAUUCAAUAAGGUGAGAGUAAAUUGUGGAUGCGUUGAUGGAUUUCUUUUUUUUGGGGGGGGGGGGGGGGGGGAAUAAAAAAGAGAUGCAUGUUCUUUGCAUGGUUGUUUAUGGAGGCAAAGACUUAGCACUGAAUGAUAAGAUCAUUUACCUUCUUAGGGCCAAAGUCGUGAGUUUGAGCCUUAUCCUCCUGGAAGUAAAUCGAAGACUUAUCAUUUUAAGUGAGGGGCAAACUGAAGUUUAUUCUAAAAUGUUAUAUGAAACAACUUUAAGCCUUUUACAUCUAUUAAUUGUCUGCUACUAUUUUUUUUUUAUUCUAAAGUCUUUAUUACUCUUCUCAUAUUAGUAGUUAGCAGAGAUCCUAAAUUUUCUUUUAACAUUUUAUUCUAACAUUCUUUCCCCCGAAAAGGACAAUGGCAAGAUAAUUUGUCCUACCUUGACUGACUUAAUUUGGAUAGCUUGUGAUCAACUCUCUCUCGUUAUUCAUAAAGACGGCUACUUUGAUUUGCACUAUCCUUUCUGUGUCAUUGUGCUCACGUUGCAAGGGAUUCAUCACGCCCGCAGUCGUCAAAUUAAAGUUACAUUACAUUUACAUAAGUUAAAGACUUGUUUGAAUAUUCUCCAUCAUCUUUAUUGACCAUUUUUUAUCUUUUUAUUUUUCCUUGUGUCAAAAGAAUCCUUCACUGAUUGGAAUAUCCAUGAUGACUGGUUGCAAUUGGAAGAGCCCCUGAAAUUCAUCUUUCAUUCGAUCUUAAAUACGUUCUCCGAACAAUUAGAAUACAUUAAGAUUUUAUGAACUUGCUUAGUAGAUCAUUCAACUGCUUAAUUGGUGCUGUUAAUUAAUUGACUAUCUUCCUGGAAACACAUUAAAGACUCUCACGGGGAUUCAUUAAACCUUUUCGCUGGGUCAAUUCUACAAGCAUCAGACGUAAAAGCUUCAUGAUAAGAGCACAAGCCUAUUGUCUUCAGAAGCUCCUUCAAAAAGCGAAGCUAGCUAUUCUCUUUAUUGUCAUUUUCAUCCACUUUAAUUAACCCUCUCUUUUUCAUGUUGUACAACUUUGACUUGACUCUCAAAUGGAGAACAACGAUAUUUAGACAGAAAAAUUUAAUAAAAUAUUUAAAAAUAAAAUAAAAUUAGUGUCGGUUUAUCUUGUACUAGUUUUGCCUUAUUGAUGUCAAUGAUUUUCUAAGAGAAAAAUAAAACUUACAUUAAUUUUACCUUUGUUUCAUGAUGAGGUAAAACAUGAUUUUUUUAUUUUAACUUUUAAAAGAUUUCUUCAAAUGAUUUUCAAGUUGAUUUAUUUGGUUGGACUGUAAAAUGGGUUUGGGCUUAGCCCACCCCUAAUGUUUUUUUUCCAAAUUACCAUAAAAAAGAUUAGGUGUGUUGCAUUGCAAGUGUGGUAUGGAUAAAAGGAUAUAACUAUUUCUUCGUUGGAAAUUUGAAUAAAGAGAUAGAGAAAUUGGUAAACGAGUAGGAAAUAAUUUACGGGAAGGAUAAGUGGAUAAGAUUAGUGCUGGAGCCGUCAUGGAUUCAUUGCUAUGUAGAAUUAAAAAUUCAAGCUUAAACAGUUUUGGUGAAAUUUCUAUAUUGAAAUUCUUGUUAAUUAAUCAUUCACACUUUAAUGAAAGUAUUAAUAGCAGCCGUGUAACGCCCUAUUAAUUAAUUUAUCACACGUUAUAUAUAUAGAGUAGCGUAACGGGAUGGUUUUUUUUUUAAUAUAUAUGUUGAUCUUUUACUCAAUUAAUUAAUUAACAUUUAUAAAAUAGCACUAAGUAUUCAUGAGCUUAAACAUGAAUCAAUAUUUGCUAGUGCAUUGGUGGUUAGCACAAAUAACUUCGAUGAUAGAGAGUGACUAGGAAGCAUUAAGGGGAUGGAUCCUUUAAUGACCUGAUUUUUAAGCAAAUUUCACUUAUAUAUUUAGUGGUUAAUCAAUUAAGAAAUAAAAAUAGUUAAAUUCUAAUCAUACAUUAAUAUUAAAAGGUAAGUGAUAUAAGAUCUUUAAACGUUCAGAAGAGAUCAAGUCAAAAGAGAAUUUUAAUUUGAGAAUCAGAAGAGAUCAAAUCAAAAGAGGAUUUUAAUUUGAGAAUAACUCUUGUAAAGCUUAAGUUUUAUGUGCUCAUGAAAGUACUUGCUAUUAAAGGUAUCUCUUGAAUAUUUAAUGCUUUAACAGAUUAUAUUCUUUAUAGACAGUUUGUAAAUUACUCUCGUCACUACCACCAUGACUUGUAUUGUUGUUGUGACCAGUUUAAUGGAAUGCAAUUUCAAUUUACUUGUUAGAAAAAAAAAAUCAAUUAUAAAUACUAAUUUACCUUAUUGUGCUCUAGAGCAAAAUACAAAGUGGAUCUUUGAUGAUUAUUAAUUUAAUUUACAAUGAUAGAUAUAUCUUAAGUAUACAUAUUAAGAUAUAUAUAUACACACACAUACACGUGCUUGCAUGUGUGUGUGUGCGUGUGCGUGUGCGGGUGUGCCAAGAGACGAACAAAUAUAUGAUAAAUAGAAAUUUCCUUACCUAAAGACUUCAAAUUAAUGGUGAAACAUCUUUGCAAAUUAAACUAAGAAAAAUUGAAAAAGUAUUUUUAUCAUUUUAUGCAUGGAAUUCCACGUCCAUGCAUGCAUCUACCCAACAAAUGCACUUGUAAUUUAGUAUGCAUAUGGUACAUCACAAAAUAUUGUCUUGGAAAAGUCUCAAUGGAUGACUCGUGAUCAUGUCAUUGUACGUACACGCACAACGAAUAAUCCUUGCGACGACUUGCAUAAAACAAAAAAGGGAAUGUCUCUUUGUCCCUGUAGUUUAUGUACCCAUGGAGGAGUCAAUAUAUUUUUAGAAAUUUACUCAAAAAAAUCUACUUAAUUAUUUUCUAUUUUCCAUCCGCUAUAUAUUAAAUUAGUUUCAAUUUUAAAUUUUAUCAUAUAAAAAUUCUGUUUUAGCUUAAAAAAUUUAUGUCCAACAACUAAGAAAGUAAGUAAAGAGAUGUUCUGGAUAAUCUUUUAAAAUAUAAUAUUGACCAAACUAGAUAAUUGACUCAAACUAUGGGGAUUAAAAUAGUAUUUACCUAUUUAACAAAUUUAAAAUUGUUUUCCAAAAAAAAAAAAGUAAAUUAACUUCUAUCUUUAUUAAUAAAAUUAUGACAUAACUAAGUAAUAUUCAUAUUGUGGUGAAAACAACUUCUUGGUUUAGCGAUGGUCUUGCAUGUGGAGGGUUGAAAUCUUUUAUGUUAAUAAUAGUAAUUAAAAGGGAGUGUGUAUGCCACACGCCGGAGACCAAAAAGUGAUUUGUCAAAUCCUCGAACUCAAUGACGAGCCAAAACUGGAUUGGUUAUCCACUCUUGUACGGCUUUGAAUGACUUUUUCUAUUUGCUACAUACUCCGCAUCAAUCGUUGUAACGACGUAAUUACGAAAACAACUAGAAGCUGGCCAAGACGACGGGCAAGCUGAGAACAUAUUCGUUGGCAUUUUCCCUUCAUUUACACCAAAUAAUCUAAAGUUCUGAACUGAAUGAAAGAGGAAUAAGCCAACUUGAAUUACAUUUUUUCCAGCAUUUUUUGGUCGAGCGAACCAUUUCACUUGGAAUCAUAAUGAGUCGUUGCAAGGAAAUGUGUUAUUUUGAUUAUUACUUUGUUUAUUAUUCUUGUUUGCGGCAUUUUAAUUUGAGAGAGAUAUAAGUCUCAAAGGAAUGUCGGAUUCUGUGCUCACAUGAUGAGCUAUAUAAUAUAUGUUGGUUUUACUUAAGGUUGUUGUAAUUAGUAGUUUUUUUUAAAAAAAAAAAUACUAGCACAACUCUAAUUUAUAAUGGAUAAAAAUUCCUAAUUAAUUUGAAUUCAUCUCUCAUUUGUCAUUUAAAAAAGAAAAAAAAAAGAUUCAAUAAUGUUCUUAUUAAUAAACAUAGUAUUUGACACUUUUGUCUACUCGGAAACAAAGACUAACGACAAUAUGCUUUAAACGUUUUGAUGGUUCUGCUCUACCAACAUCAACGUAAAAUCACAGAUCGAGCACAUAAGUCAUGACCAUCAUUUUCAAAAUUUGCAAAUAUAGUCCAAUUUCUCUAUAAUCAUAAUAUUGGGGCAAAUUAAUUUUAUUAAUAUGAGAAUAUUAUAAUUAACUUAGUAAAGAUAUAGUUACAGAAAUUAUCAUUUUCACUUAGUUAUCCUUCGUGCAAUUAAAUUAGAGGUAAAAUAUUUACUAUAUUAAUAAUUAAUUACUGGAUUAUGUCAGAAAUUGAUAUUAAAGGUAGGCUUAAUUAAAAAAAAAUAGUCUAUACUUUUUUGCAAUAGACAAAUAAUAUUACUAUGCGGGGACAAAUUCUUUUUAGACAAGACUUAAAAAAAUUAUAACUUAUUAUAAUAUAUAGUAUAUCCUUAUUUAUAACUACUUAAAUUGAGAUUAAAUCUUUUUUAUAAUUAAAUAAAAAUUAUUUUUAUAUAAAGUAUGACUACAUAGGAGAAAUAUUUUCUUUCUAUAUAAAGGAUAUAUGACUAUAUAGGAGAAAUAAUUUAUUGUAUAUAGCUAUUUCUUUCUCUGUUAUUUCUAUCCACUUCAUGAGCACUGUCUUAGUCUUUUCCCUUUUUUGUAACAAUCUUGGUUUAACUAUGAACUAAAUGUUCUUCUUUUCAAUCAUUAAUUAAUAUUAGGUAGGUAGGUCUACCAACACGGUUGCACCUAAUUACCCACUAUAAAAUUUUAUUAUCAAUCUCCCAUGGAAAAGUGUGCAUGCCUAUAUAUAAUCGGACUUUAUUAUCAGUGUUAUGGAUAAAUGAAUUAUUAAUUUUAAAUUAAUAAUUAUUUUAAUCAAUUUGGCAAUAUAUAUCUUAUCCUUGAUUAAUUUAUAUGAAUGAAUAUCAAGUGUAACGUAAAAUAUUAUUUGUGUUGCACAUGACAUGCGGACAAAAGAAUACAAAGAUUCCUUAAACAAGAUUCAAAGUAAAAUAGAAAGUUGAAUUUAACAAGAUUCAUGUACAGGAAGAAAAAGAAUUAAUAAAGUGAUGAAAAAUUGGUAAUCGUGGCAAGUAAUCUUAUUCAUGUACGCGGCGGCACGACCCAAGACUUGGAAAUUAAAUAGUGAAACUUCUUUGCAAACGAUAGAAACUACAAUUCAUGGAGAGUCUUGACGAGUAAUUUAUCAUUUUAUGCAUGGAAUUCCACGUGCAUGCAUGCUUGUUCUCCACGCUUGGAAAUUUUGCAAAUGGCUUCUCCCUUUAAUCUUUGAAAGUGUCCUCUAACAAGUGUCUCAAUUAUUGGAUAACAUUUGCAGUCCUUGUAAUUCAUUAAUAACACGUCCCUCAACAAUCCAUAUUGCAAUAAAGAUUUUUACGCAAAAAUUCUAUCAUCCAUCAAACUACCAAAUUGGCCAACAAAUAGAUGAUACUUAUGUUUUGAAAAACUAUCAUGUAAUUGAUGAUUAUAUCAAAUUUAACUAUAUGUAUUAUAUAUAUAUAUAUAUAUAUAUAUAUAUAUAUAUAUAUAUAUAUAGUUUAGAGACUUUGUGUAUAAAGACUUGUGUUUUAUUUUAUUUUGUUUGUGUGGUGAAUUUUUACUGGUAGUAAGUCCCGUUUUAGGAUAAGGAUUUCCGCUGAGGGCAAUAAAACCAUACCUGUAGCCAUACUGACAAGACUAGGUAGACCAUAGGUUUUUAUCCAUGGAUUCUCUACUCUGUAGAGUAUCGUCCUUUUCUAGCUCUUCUUCCGGGAAGACUAGCAAAAAAAAAAAAAAAAAAACUCUCUUUCUGGAUCCCAGAAAGAGAGUUUUUUAACUGUAGCGAGCCAAUUAAAACUUGCGCUUGGAGUCACUAAAUUUAAAUUCUGCUUAAAACACAUCCGUCCUUCGAUCCUAUUUCCUUCUGGUAUCAGAGCCAAGGGGAGGAUAGUGUCAUAUAGUUUAGAGACUUUGUGUAUAAAGACUUGUGUUUUAUUUUAUUUUGUUUGUGUGGUGAAUUUUUACUGGUAGUAAGUCCCGUUUUAGGAUAAGGAUUUCCGCUGAGGGCAGUAAAACCAUACCUGUAGCCAUACUGACAAGACUAGGUAGACCAUAGGUUUUUAUCCAUGGAUUCUCUACUCUGUAGAGCAUCGUCCUUUUCUAGCUCUUCUUCCGGGAAGACUAGCGAUUCAAAGAACAUUGUGAAUUCUGAAGAAUUUGUAAUUGAAGAUUUCAAUAAAGCAAUUGAUAAUUGGGAACUUCCAAAGAUUUCUAAAGAAAUGAUUUAUAAAACAAAAAAGUUUGAUUUCUUAAAGAAUGAUUAUGUUAUAAAGACUGAAGAACGUGACAUCACUCUUUCAAAGCCUUUUGAAACAAUCCACUUGUUUUCAGAACAAUCUUUAAAGAAAUUAAAAGAUAAAAAUUUUAAUUAUGUUCAUAUCGACUUGAUCCAAGUCGGCAUAAAGCCUCUUACUAAAGGACUUAAUACCUCCAUUCUUGCUGUCCUAAGAGGUGGGCGAUUCAUCUCUUUUGAUGAUUCUUUGCUAAGUAGCAUAGAAUCGAGUCUUUGUAAAAGACCUAUUUCUUUCAAUUGUUAUCCAAACAUGACAAUUUCCCUUAAAUACAAAAACAUUUUGAAAAGCAUGAUUUUACAAAUAAAAACACAUAAUUACCAUAUGAUUGAGGGAUCUGUCCCAGUUGCAUUAAUUUUUAAAAUUUAUUACAAAACCAUGAUUUCUGCAUUUAGCACACAACACAAAUUCCAGUUAAAAAGAGAUGAGACUCUUCUCUUACAGACUGAUCUGUCCAAAGCCAACACUGUUAUUCCAAAACCGAUCCAAUGGAAAGAUGUCAAUCUUCCAGAUGAAUGGGUCCUUGAAGGAGCCAUUGCCCCAGUGAUUCCAAAACAACUUGAGCCAAAUACAGAGUUACAAAAUGUGACUCAGUAUUCUUAUGGUAAAGUCAAAUUGUCCCUCAGGAGAUCUACUUCGUCUAGAUUUUCUGAUAAAGAUUCUGUCUCAAGUAUUCCUUCACUGGAAAGGAAAUUCUCCAAAGUUCCUUCUGUAAUCAAUCUUCCUUUCCAGAAUCAACCUAGGUUUUCCACUUCGGAUAUACCACUAGUGUUCCAUAUCCGAUCUACACUAGUAGUCAGCAUGAGAAAAGACAGGAAGAGAAAGAACCUUCUCCUCCUACUUCCCCUACGUUUUCUGCAGUCACAGAAAAUAUAACCAAUGUCAUUGAAAAAAUUUUUGAAUUUGAUAAAACUCUUCUUCAUAAUGAUUUUUAUUCUGAUUCGAAUAAAGAAAAAAGACUUUGGUUUUUUAAACAUUUUUUAAAUCAAAGAAAAGAAAUCCAACAAGUUUAUUAUGAAUUUGUUAAUCUGCAUAAAGCUCAUAUAUUAUUUUUUGAUUGGUUUCAAUUAUAUGCUUCAGAAAACAAUAUUUCUUAUCCCUUCAAAGAAUCAAACCCCAUUACUGUUAGAAAGAAAACCACUGAAUGGACUCUUUCUGGUAGUGGUAGAACCAUAGAAUCAGAACAUCCACCUCUUAGGAGCUUGACCAUUGGUCAUGGUGAACCCCCUGUAGAGAUUAAAGCCUCACCCUAUAAAAUCCAUAAAAAUCCAGAAACAGAUUUAGAUAGCAUUAUCCAACAGAACAAUUUCUGUAAUGAUAAUCUAAAUACAAUAGGAAAACAGUUGACUAGGAUAGAAAACCAAUUCCAACAGCCAACUAUAGCUGUUUCUCCUAUACCAAAGCCAGUUACCUCAAAAUCAGAUUCUGACAAAAAGCUUAAAGAACCUAUUUUCAAACCUUUUUAAGUUUCGAAAACUAGUCAAAGGCUUGCCCAAGAGUCAAAAUCAGAUUUUGCCAAAGCCAUUAGGGAACAACUAGACCGAAUAGAAGCUGCUUCUUCUUCUUCUAGUAAGGUCCAAAUAGCCCCUGAUAGUGCCCAAUCUAGCAAGAUUGGUGUACUAGAACAGGACAGUAUAUCCAUAGCCUCUUCUGAUGUAGAAGCCUUCACAGAAGAACCUAUUUCUAAAACCAAUAAAAUCCAUUGGGAAUUAGCCUUACCUACUGUCAAGUCUCCACCUAAUUUGGCCAUAGAUAACAGACCUAGUGCAUUAAACCAAUCCUGAUUUAAUGCAUCAUCUGUCUAUGAGUGGAACAUUGAUGGUAUGUCUGAGUACAACAUCCUAGGGUUAUUGCAACAGAUGACCAUGGCAGCCAAUGCCUAUAAAACCCAAUCGGGAACUUCUGAUAAAGCAAUUGCAGAAAUCCUUAUUGCGGGUUUUACAGGUCAGCUUAAAGGUUGGUGGGAUCACAUUCUCACCAAACAGCAACAAUUAGAUAUACUAGAUUCUAUUCAAACUGACGAGAAUGGAGCCCCCAUUCUUGAUGAAUUCAAUAGUCCGAUUCAGGAUGCAGUUGCCACCCUGAUUGUGACUAUAUCCCUCCAUUUCAUAGGUGACCCCUCACACCUUAGAGACAAAAACGCUGAGUUACUACACAAUCUUCGGUGUAGAAAACUUAGUGAAUUCCAGAGCUAUAAAACCACAUUCUUCACCAGACUUUUCCUUAGGGAUGAUGCAAAUCAUAUAACUUGGAAGGAGAAUUCUUUGCAGGUUUACCUACCCUAUUAGGAGAAAAGGUUAGGAAUUCUAUUAAAGUCUUGUAUGAUAACCGUAUUCCUUAUGACGAACUCACUUAUGGUGAACUAGUCAGUUUUGUUAAUAAGGAAGGUUUAAAGAUUUGUCAAGAUUUGAAAUUACAGAAACGGUUAAAAUGGGAGCUUAAGAAAUCUAAGCAAGAAUUAAGCAGUUUCUGUAAACAAUUCAAUUAUGACCCCUUUAAAACUUCUACUUCCAAAGAUUGUAAUGGUGAGUGUUCUACAAAACCUUACAAGAAACAUUACAAAUCAAGAUCCCAUAGAAAACCCUUUCAAGAUUUUAGAAAACAUUCUUAUAAGAAACCUUCGAGGCCUUAUAAGAAGCCCAAAUUCUCUAAAAAGAAAGAGUUUAGAGCUAAACCAAAAACCCCUUUCAACUAUAAAUAAGCCACAUGUUUCAAAUGUGGACAGAAAGGCCAUACUGCAAAAUUCUGUAGAAUGAGAGGAAGCUCCAUGAGCUUGGUCUUGAUGAUGAUAUAUUUUCUAAGAUCGCCCAUUUACUUGUAGAAUCUUCCGAUUCUGAAUCCUCUAUGACAGGGGAUAGUGAGCCUCUACAAAUUGAUGAGUUAAUUGACUCAGGUACAUCUGUAUCCAGUGAUAGUGAUUCUGAUACGGAAUCCUAUUUAAAGAAAAUCAACGUUUUGACUAAAGAACAAGAAACCUUUCUUGAACUUGUAAAACAUAUUUCUGAUCCUACUCUCCAAAAAGAGUAUCUUGAUAAACUCUUAAAAACACUCGACUUGAGUGAUAAAGCAGGAACUUCUGAAGCCCCAUUGAUCAAAAGGAAUACAUAUGACCUUACUGAAAUUUUGGAUAAAAAGAAAACAAUGAGAACAAUGACUCCUAAUAUCCAAGAUCUUCAGAAAGAGAUAAAAAAUAUCAAACUUGAAAUCAAGGAGUUAAAAGAAAAGCAAAAGAGUGAUUCUGAUACUAUCCAAUUCCUUUUGCAAAAGCAACUCCAGGAUAAUUCUGAUAAAGAAUCCGAUGAUGGUGAUAAUGACGAACAAAGGUUAGAUAACAUUGAGUUUAUACCAAAUGAUUUUCUGUUUGUCUUAAAACAAAUCACCACAAGAAAGUAUUUAAUCAAAAUUACUUUGAUUUUUUCCAAAGAUUUUGAAAUUGACACCAUUGCCCUUUUCGACACUAGUGCUGAUUUAAAUUGCAUUAAAGAAGAUAUUGUCCCCAGAAGGUUUCAUGAGAAGACAAACGAGAGACUUUCUGCAGCCAAUAAUUCAAAACUUAAAGUCAAAUCUAAAGUCGACGCCUCUAUUCAUAACAAUGGUUUUGAAUUUAGGACUUCAUUUAUUCUUACAAAUGACAUACACCAUACUGUCAUUUUAGGAACCCCUUUUAUAAAUCUUAUUACUCCAUAUACUGUCAAUUACGAUAGUAUAUCUUUUAAAGAAAAAAAUAAAAAACUUGUUUUUCCUUUUAUUGGAAAACCCAAAACAAGAAAUUUGAAUAUUGUUAAAGCUUGUUCUGUUUAUCAGAACCAAAUCAAUAUUCUUCUCAAAUCUAAACAAAAUGACCUAGUUUGUUUGAAAAAGGAUUUGAAUUUACAAAGAAUUGAAACCCAAUUACAAAAUGAUUUUAUCAAAAGAAAGAUUUCUGAUUUUAAAUCCUUGAUUGAAAAAGAAAUUUGUGCCGAUUUACCAUCUGCUUUUUGGAACCGAAAACAACAUUUGGUAGAUUUGCCCUAUGAGAGUUCUUUUGAUGAAAAACAAAUUCCCACCAAAGCUCAUCUGAUCCAAAUGAACAUGGAUUUGGAACAACACUGUAAAGAUGAAAUCAAAGAUUUGGAGUCCAAAGGACUCAUUGUUAAAUCUCGAUCUCCUUGGUCUUGUGCCGUAUUUUAUGUUAAUAAAAAUUCUGAAAUUGAAAGAGGGACCCCGAGACUAGUUAUAAACUACAAGCCUCUCAAUAAAGCUUUGAAAUGGAUUAGGUACCCCAUACCUAAUAAAAAAGAUUUGCUCCAAAAACUGCAUUCUACAUUCAUAUUUUCAAAAUUUGAUAUGAAAUCUGGUUUUUGGUAAAUUCAAAUCCAUCCUAAAGAUCGUUAUAAAAUUACUUUUACUGUUCCAUUUGGACAGUAUGAGUGGACUGUAAUGCCUUUUGGCCUGAAGAAUGCACCCUCCGAAUUUCAAAGAAUCAUGAAUGACAUUUAUAGUCCUUUUUCUGAUUUUUGCAUUGUUUAUAUUGAUGAUGUGUUAAUCUUUUCCCAAACGAUUGACCAACAUUUCAAACAUUUAAAGACUUUCUAUCUUGCCACUAGAAAGACUGGAUUGGCCAUUUCUAGCUCCAAAGUUUCUUUGUUUCAAACAAAGAUCAGGUUCCUCGGUCAUUACAUUUCCAAAGGAACCAUUACUCCUAUUGAGCGUUCUCUUGUCUUUGCAGACAAGUUCCCUGACAAAAUCCUAGAAAAAACUCAAUUACAAAGAUUUCUAGGAAGUUUAAAUUAUGUUCUUGAUUUCUGUCCUAAUAUCAAUAGGAUGUUUAAACCCUUGCAUGAUAGAUUAAAGAAAAAUCUUGUUGCAUGGACUGAUGAGCAUACUAGAAUUGUUAAACUUAUAAAGAGUUCUGUUAAAAGCAUCCCAUGUUUAUUUCUUGCAAAUCCUGCAUUACCUAAAAUUGUUGAAACUGAUACAUCUGAUUUAGGUUAUGGAGGAAUACUAAAGCAAAGAGAACAUGAUAAAGAACAAAUAGUGCAAUAUGUUUCUGCCCACUGGAAUGAAUGCCAAAGAAACUAUUCUACUAUUAAAAAAGAAAUUCUUUCUAUUGUUUUAUGCAUUUCUAAAUUUCUAAGUGAUUUAUUAAAUCAGAAAUUUUUACUUAGAAUUGAUUGCAAAGCUGCAAAACAUGUUUUAGAAAAAGAUGUCCAAAACAUUGCCUCAAAACAUAUUUUUGCACGAUGGCAAGCUAUUUUAAGUAUUUUUGAUUUUGAUAUUGAAUUUAUUAAAGGUGAUGCAAAUUCUAUCCCUGAUUUUCUAACUAGGGAAUUUCUCCAGAACAGAUAAAUGCCGUCCAAAAAGAAAGACAAAGGGAAAGAGAUUCUCAAAGACCCUGUGUCCCAAACACCUUCUAAAGCCUCUCAAACCUCACCACCUAAAGAAAAAUUGCUUUCUUCUGCCAUGCCAAUCAAAUCCUGGAUCGACAUGAUAGAAGAUCAAGAAGCCCAGUUUAAAGCUCUUGCUACACAUGAGCAGGUAAAUGAAUGGAUGAAAUCCAUUUCUAAAUCCCCUGAACUUAUGCUCGCUUUACAAAGUUUUUCUCAAAGCCAAAUAUCUCCAAAAGAAGAUAUUGAAAAAGAAAAAUCUGUUUCCAAAGAAGUUUCAAAACCCUCUUCUCAAAAUGUGGUUAUUUCUGGUGAAAGUUCAUCUUCACAAAUUAUUCUUUCCCAGCCAAAGCUUUCAAAGAAAUCUUCUGAUUGGUUUGAUAAAACCCAUUUCCAAAACAUUUUAUCUAUGGAAGAUGGUUUUUACCAUCCUGAUCCUUUUCAAGCUAUUUCAAAGUUUUUCCCUAAGGGCUGGUUUUUCAAACCAUGGGAUUUGACAAAACCCCAGUCCUAUUAUCAAAGCAUUUUGGAAUCCAUUGAGUUGGUAAAAUUCAAACAUUUCUUCCUCAGUGAAACCCAUACAGAGCCAGCCUAUUCCACGGCUACCAUCCUCAAAGUCCUAAGCCCAAAACAGUGGGGUGACCUACUCCACAACCAAAAAUACUUCCCUCAAAAUUUUCAAAUGUGUUUGCCAUAUUGUUUGACCUAUUCCUACUGGGAUUAUCAACAAGCCUGGUAUAACACAUUUUUCAUACAAAACCCAAAGAAAUCCCAUUCCUGGUUAUUUUUCUUCAAUUCAAAGAUAACCGUUCAAAGCCUUCCAAAUUGGUUUCAACAUUGGUGGAACUAUUUUGGUCUAAUACCACAAAUUCUAACUCCAAAUGCCACCAAUUGUCUAAACCUCUUCAAAGCCCAUUAUAUUCCUUCUGACUCAGAGAAAAGAUUUCCCCCCUUUCUCUGUUUUUGUACAAACUUCUUCCUUCCAUGGGUAUGGAUGUGGAAUUUCCGAUAUUAUACCCAAGAAGCCCAGCUCAUCCUACAAAGAACUAUGGCAAAAUGUCCGGUCGGGCUCGGGCUUGGCCAAGCCCUACCCGACCCGAUCAAAAGAAAUGUAAAGCCCGACCCUAAAAAUGCCCGAAUACUAUUUAGUUAGGGUCGGGCCGAGCCCGGCCCGAAUCGGGCCAACAUCGGGUCGAGCCCAACCCGACCCUACCGAAAUAAUUAACCCCACAAUUUAAUUCUCAUUUUCCACCACCAUUUUAACCAAUUCGGUAAUUACUCAACCAUUUCAAACACAAUCUAAUCCACUUUCCACAACUAUUUCAACCAAUUCCACAACCAUUUCAACUCCACACACAAAUCAAUUCUAAAAUCUAACAUGAAAAACACACAAUGUAAUAAAAUUAAAAACACACAAUAUAAUUUCACAACUAUUUUACCCAUACACAAUUCAAUUCAAGAACCCAACAUAAAAAAUAAAAAAUAAAAAACUCAUGUCUUAUACAAAUAAAAAUACAAUGCAAUUAAAUUAAAAACACACAAUAUAAUUUCACAACCAUUUUAGUCAUACACAAUUUAAUUCAACAACACAACAUAAAAAAAAAAAAACUCAUGUCUUGUACAAAUAAAAAUACAAUGCAAUUAAAUUAAAAAGACACAAUGUGUGAUGUUGUGUGUAUGUUAACUUGUGAUAGUUUUUUUUUUUUUUUAAAUAGGGUCGGGUCGGGUCGGGCCGGCAUUAAGCCCUACCCUAACCCUAAAUUUGUUCAGGCCUUAAAAUCUUGGCCCUAACCCGACCCUAAACUUGAAAAUUCGGGCCAAAGCCCUAAAAAUUAGGGUCGGGUCAAUCGGGCCAAAAAUCGGGUCGGGCUAAAUUGCCAAGCCUACAAAGAACCUUUAAAGUUAAGUGGUGGUCAAAGUUUGACGAACAGUCCAAAUUAACUGAUACCCUGAUCCGUAAUUGGCUCUGUUCUAAAGGCUUCAUACCCCCAACAAUUAAAGCUGCCAAAGCCCAAGAAACCUUUCUUACCCAAAAAUCCAAAGCGCAAUCUCUUUUGGCCAGCGCCAAAACUGAAGAAGAAUAUUUUAAAGUUAUGGAGCAGCUCCUCACCUCACGAUCAAAGUCCUCAGUUGCAGACACCUCUGAUGACGAUGAAGAAGAUGAAGAACCAUUUAUUUCUCUUGGAGAUGAAAAUGAAGAUGAUUGUUUCGGAAUUUUCUCUCCAAUAAAGCAUUGUAAAUAGUUAUCGUUUAUGUAUUAAAAAAAAAAUUAAUUAUUCAUCUUUUGUAAUCUCCAUUUGUAUUUUCCUUUUUUCUAUUUGUAUGUAUCUUCGGGUGGUCCCUUGGACACAAGUGAGAGCGCACAUGUCUCUUCACCCGUAUCAUACUCAUAUUUUAAAGCUUGUAUAUUCUAGUUCCAAAGAUUACUGUUCCAAGCUACAGUUUUGCUACAGUGGAGAAGCUACAGACUCGCUACAUUAAAAAACUCAAUUUUGUAUUUAAUUCUGGAGGAAGACUUAGACUCCUCAGAAUUUUUUCCUUUCUCGUUUUAUUCUCUCUCUCUCUUCUCUCUCUCUCUCUCUGUAUUCAAAGAACGUUGUGAAUUCUGGUAUUAGAGCCACAAUUUAGUGAUUUAUUUCUUGCAAAUCCUUCAUUACUUAAAAUUGUUGAAACUGAUGCAUCUGAUUUAGGUUAUGGAGGAAUACUAAAGCAAAGAGAACAUGAUAAAGAACAAAUAGUGCAAUAUGUUUCUGCCCACUGGAAUGAAUGCCAAAGAAACUAUUCUACUAUUAAAAAAGAAAUUCUUUCUAUUGUUUUAUGCAUUUCUAAAUUUCUAAGUGAUUUAUUAAAUCAGAAAUUUUUACUUAGAAUUGAUUGCAAAGCUGCAAAACAUGUUUUAGAAAAGGAUGUCUAAAACAUUGCUUCAAAACAGUUUUUUGCCAGAAGGAAAUAUGAUCGAAGAACGGAUGUGUUUUAAGCAGAAUUUAAAUUUAGUGACUCCAAGCGCAAGUUUUAAUUGGGGUAUGUGGCGUUGUUACCAGAUCGAUGCAGAGCUUAAUCUGCCUUUGGACCCAGAUCUGACUUAGAACAUAUCAAUAGUCCACACGUUCUGUUUUCCAGCCUAUAUAUCUUUAAAUUCUUUGAAAAAUCUUGAUCUUUAAGCAAGCCUAGCAACAGAUCUAAAGGCUCAUAGAUAGUUGAUUGUAUUGGUUUUGAUGUAUUGUAAAAUUUUUGAUUUUAUGGCCAUAUAAUAUAGAUAAUCAAGGUUUAAGUUUAUUCACACACACGCGCACGUACACGCACACACAUACACAUAUAAUUAUAGGAGUGACUAAUGAGCCUUUUUCUUUUCUCAUUUUGAGAAAAUCUCAAGUACAAAAAACGUAUUAUAACCAUUUAGUGAAAUUAGUUAUGACAUACGCACUCUGAUUUUAUUAUACUAUAAUUAUCUUCUUCUUCUUUUUUUUUCCAACUUAAAUGUACACGUACGUGAUCAAUGACUAUGGAUUAUGUAGAGGAGUUUAUCAUUUUAUUGAAAUUCUAAUGAUUGUCACAACAUAUUAAAGGGAGGUUGGCAGUUUCCUUCAUGUAGAAAUUAAUACAUACCAUUUCUCUUUUUAUUGUUUUCAUAAUAAUUAAUAACUUUCAUUCAUCAUAAUUUUAUAGUAUUAUUCUUAUUUUAAGAUAUUUUAAAAUUUAUUUAAUUAUUCAUCUUUAUUAUAAAUUAAAUAAAUUAUAUAAACAGAAAUUGAAAUAAAAAAAUUUAAAUAUUAGAAAUAAGAAAUAUAAUUUUCGGUGUUGAUAAAAAAUUAGUAUGAAUAUAGUUUUCUUUUUUUUUAUCUUUAAACAUAUUUUCUUAUGGUAAAUAUAUAUUUUAUAUUUUUAAAAUAAAAUAUUAAGCAAAUGACCCAUUUACCUUUACUUUCUUUUAAGUUUUUUUUUUAUACGAAGAGAUUAUUAACUAUUAUGAAAAUAAUAGAUGAAUAAAUAUUUUACAUAAAUUUCGACGGAGAGAAACUAGCAAUACCCUUAAACGAUUGAACCUUCAGUAUCUUAGUAGUUGACUGUGAAUGACAUUUUAUUCCACCCCAUUGCAAUUGUUGCUUGUCUUCCACGGAUAUCUUGAUUACGUUUGCAAGCUUAUGUUAUAAGGGCUUCGUCAUUGCCAUUAUUACGAAAUUAAAUAGACUACGAUUGUUGACCUAAUUUGAAAAUUCCUCCAUUGUUUAUUAUUUUUCGCUUUCUAAUUUAUCAACAUCAGCGAUAUCAAGUCAUUCUUUUAAUUAAAAACCUUGGGGAAGACGAAAUAUAUAUUAACUUACUGUCUUUUCUCAACAACUUUUUAGGUGAGAUUAGUUUAAUAAAUUACAUGAUAAAUAAUACUCUUGCUUGAGUCUACAUAUAAUUAUAUAUGAUGUAAAAUUAAGAUUCUUUUUUUUUUUGUCGUAAUACAUAGAAUUGUUCGUACUAUUAUUAUAACAAAAUAAUUAAAAUUUAUGAGUUGAAGUUGUCAGAAAAAUAAACUUAUUUCCAAUGAAUGGCAUUUGGAGGAACAAAAUAAAUCCGAAACUUUUUUACGCGGAAAAAAUCAAUUAACAUUAAUGAAGUCCAAAUGUCCAAAUAUAAUGGGAAAUUGAAUUCUUCAAUACCUUGCUGUUUCUUCAUAUUUCUUUAUAAAUUUACCGAUUCUUUACUCUAAAUUCUAGAAUUUGUCUUCAUACAUACAAUGGAAACUUAUUCUCUAAGAUACUGUAAAAAAACAAAAAAAUUAACAAAACCUAAUCAGUUGGUAAAUUUUGAUUAAUUAUUAUCUAUUAUUAAUAAUUAGGUGGACCUAAACGUUCCAAAUACAUUAAAACAAUCGAUCAUCUACAUUAUUCUAUAUUUUGAGGAGAGAAAAAAAAAAGACAAAAUCUUUUAGAUCAUCCACAUUAUUCUACAUUAAUCUUUUUUUCUUUUUUUUCCUUAUGAAAAAGCAAUUAAAUUAAUAAGUAGAAAUUUCUUUACAUUUUCGCCGGAGAAUCAGAGUCAAAUUCAAAUACAACGACUCAAAGCGCAAAAGCUUAUAAAUAGAGGAGAGCAAAAAUAAAGCCCCGCUCCAGUUCUCUUCUCUGUCAGAGGCUACGGAUUUGAGAGAUUAAAGAACAUCAAUCGAACAGUAAGACUCCGUACUCUGUGACUCAAAGUUGCAAAAACUUUUAGGUAAAAUUUUUUCGAUUAAUUUUUUAAUUUUCGAGAAUAAAGAGAGAGAGAGAGAGAGAGAGAAAAGAGAUGGGAUUAUGUCUGUCUGGGAGUGAUGUGAGGGGAGGGAAACAAGCCAUAGGUGGGGCCCAUCUCCGGCCCACCAGCACGGCUGAUCAGAACAAUGUCUCUGGUCAAAACGACGCCGUUGAUUUCUUCUUCAAAUCUCGCGGCCUUCAUGCCCUUUUCACCCAAAUCGAGGUAUAUGUGUGUACCUGAAUUUUAUGAGUCUUUCACUGCCACUAUUUAUAAACUAUUUUCAGUUAAUUAAUUAAUCAAAAAUUUAUGAUUAGUUUAUAUUUUUUAAUUUAUUUAUAAUUUUUUAUUUUUAUUUUUUAAAUCUAACUUCGUUCAUGUCUGUAAUUGUGAUGGAUUCUCAAAUGGUCAUUCGUUUAAAAAUCUAUUCCUAAAUUAUGUUUGCUAUUAUUAUUUAUUUAAUGACUUGGCAGUGUAACAUCGAACAACUUAAAUCAUCAAUAUUUGAUAAAAGUUAUUUGAUAAUUCGAAUACAAAUAGAGAGUAUAGAUUCCUAUUCAAGAAUCAACCGCAAUCCCAAACAUGCCUUUUUUUAAAUAAUAUAAGAGGAGUAUUUGGAAUUUUGGAGGGCGAAUAUUUUACUUGGUGCUCCUUCAAAGGACAAAGGACUUAAGCAUCUCCUCAAAAGAAUGCCUAUCGGGUGCUUCUUUGAGAAGCAUUUUUUUUUCUUUCUUUUUUUUGAAUUUGUUCUGGUGGCUGAUCUUUUGCUGGUGUUGGUUCGACGGUUUCACACCAAGCAAGUGCUUUUGUUUUGCAUAUGGAGAACAGUAAGUUUAACUGCUUAUACCCAAUGACAACAUUCUGUGGAGUGAAUUUUAGAUUAAGAUUGGUUAAGGUAAAUAAAAAAAGAAUGGUGUUGAAUGCACAAAGGCCUUGUGAACGUUGAGAAAGUUGAUGUUUGAUCCUGUUGAAUGCACAGUGGUUUUCCUGUGUAUCCUCAAAGUUGACUAUUCAGUUAUGCCUCAUUUAUCAAAUUUGACUCAUACCCCUCGUGAUCAAAUUUGACUUGUACCCCUGUGAAGAUUCCCCAUGAUAAUGCUCUCCUGAAUGGAACAUGAUUUUGUGAAUGCUGGUUUGCAUAAGACAAACCAUUAACUUUAUAAAAAAUUGUGGAUUAAGGAUUAUGUUGUUACGAGGAUAAGAAUGUCUUUCCAUAACAUGGACCACCAAGUAAUUGUAAUAUUCCUGUAUUGAUGUGGACCUUACCUGAGGAUCUCCUUGGAAACUUUCCUGGAGAAAAGGAAACAAGUCAUAUGAUAACAAAUUAAAUGUGGUUCAAUGCUUGUAAUUGACGUGUCACAUCCUGUUGUUAUAUAAAACUUAAUUACAUAUAUUAUUGCUUGCUGCUUAUAAGAUUUAAUAUUAGAAGUGAUUCUGUCAGAAUCCGAAAUGAUGGUUUUCUGCAGGUUCUGUUUAUGACAGAUAUAUAUUGCCUGUCAGUUGACCCACAUCGUACUGACAAUUUUCAUUUCGUGCAGCAUACGCAUGGAUUACUCCUUUUCCGCUUUUUCAUGUAUCUGUAUUCGUUCUUAUGUUUUUGAAUAUAAAUUGCAGUUAUCUUUAUCUGCUUCAAAGUUACGUGAUCUUGACAUCGCAUCAAAGGUACACCUUCAUAUUAUUGUUGUCUUAUGUCUAAUAAUGCCAUGUUCAUGCUGUUGAUAGUCUUGGUGAUUGAUUCUCAUGUUAUCUUGUAUCCUCCUUAUAUGAUCUGCUUAUUUGUUCAUAAUGGCCCUGUCAAUAUCCUUUCUCUGUUCAUGAAGGGUCUAGGGAUAUAUGAUCUGAAUAACGCUUAGUGCUGGCACCAAAAUUCUAAACUUAGACAAAGAAGAAUAGUUUGUUAUAUACACUGUCUGUCUCCAAUGUAAUCCAGUAAGGAGCAGUAACUUGAGAGUUCCAGAUAAUGUAUAACAAGUCAUGGUUGGUGGUUUUAUUGUUUUUGCAAUUUUGUGCACUAGUCAAAUAUGUUAUAUGUGCAAGAUAAAAUUCUUUGAUAAUGAACAUUUAUCAGCGGUAUAUCUUUUUACUAGCUGAUACUAGCAUACAUCAAAUGCUGCUGUAUUUUAAUGAUGGAUUACUAACUAUAGUUAUUUAACUAAUAUAUGUUUAUAUUUAUACUCACAAGCAAAUGUAUUUACAUGUCUUUUUGUGUCAUAGAGUGAUCCCAUGGCAGUUGUGUAUGCAAAGAAAAGAGAUGGGAGGCUGGAGGAGAUUGGACGUACAGAGGUGAUUAUGAACAAUCUGAAUCCUGCUUGGAUUGGAAAGAUUUCAAUUGCUUUUCAGUUUGAGAUCGUCCAGCCCUUGGUGUAAGUUUUUAGUGUGUUCUUUUUAAAGUUUUUUUUUUCUUGAUAGGUCAUGUGCUUAUCAUUUCUCAUAAGCCUUGCUUGAUUUGAUAAUAUUUAAUGUUUUCAAAUUUCUUAAUGCUUUUCUUCUUUUUCCAGCUUUCGUGUGUAUGAUGUGGAUACCAAGUACCACAAUAUUCCAGUGAAGGUAUAUAAAAAUUUCUUAAUUAUUAUUUUUUUCUCUCAAUUCAGAUGUAAAUGAUACGCACAUACUUCAGUUCCAAAGUUUAGAGUUAGCCAAGGCAUUUGACUGAUCCAUUUGUUGUCUAAGCAUACGUCUAAACUAAAUUGCAUCAGCAAUAGUUUCUAUCAAUUUCGGGAAAUUUGGGAAUACUUGAUUGAUUAUUAACUAACAUUUAGCAUGGCAAGAAACUUAAAAAGUUGGCUGUCGUAUAACAUAAACAAAUCUUAAGGCCAGGAUAGUUAUUAUGGAACUUUCUGCUAUUGCAUCUUGCAAGGUUUGACAUAUUUGUCCUGCUACCAUAACUGGGAAAGAACAAUUUUUCUGAUGGUCCUUACGGCUAAAUUUUCUUUUUUCCAAAAUGGAAUUUUGAUCUAUGUUGUUAAAAACAAUACAGUUAAAUAGUUGCUGCCAUGACCUAAAGAAGUUUCUGUAAAAAAUGACCAUAUUGUCAGUAUUGGAAUGGAUAAGUAAAUCUUUAGAGCCUAUGAUGUAUUCGUCUGUGGAAUUUGAGUCAAAAUGAAAAAAAUUUGAUGGUUAUAAUCCUAGAAACUGUAAUCAUUUGGAAGAAUUUGCUGAAAACAGUUAGAUAAUCUAAAAAUGUGAUGAUUAUUUAUGUCAAUUGUAAAUGGUAUUAACAUUACUGGGAAAAAUGAUAAAUAUGUAAAUUUAUGCCAGUGGAAAGAGAAAAUGAACAAAUCCAGAUGGAUUCUAAGACAUUAAGUAGGAAAUCUAGUGUUCUUUUGAUUCUUUGCUGCAGUGAUCCCUAAUUACUUUCAAGUCAUUAUUAUCUCAUGACAAAAUAUUUGUUGAAGCGUGAAGUUUAAAGUUCAAGCUUCUUAUUUACGUUGCCCUACAGAUGCUAAAGUUGGAGGAUCAAGACUUCCUGGGAGAAGCUAGUUGUGUUCUCUCUGAGGUAAGUUUCUGGGUUAUAUUUUGUUUGAUGAAUAUAUGUAUUUUCUCUUUAUUCAAUGGGCAAAAUAUGCCCAUCUAAUUUUCUGUAAAAAUCUGUUUCCUAAAAAAAAAAAAAAGGGCAAAAUAUUCUCAGAUGCUUUUUACUAGCAUUCGUCUUCUUCUUAAGCAUUCUUCUUUUUCACUAACAAGUGUCAUAUUUUCCUUUUAAAUGGCAGAUAGUGACCAAACAAAAUCGAACUUUAACCUUAAAACUCCAUAACAAUUACGGGCCUCGAGUUUCAAGAAACUUUGGGACACUCUUUGUCCAUGCUGAGGAAACAGUUGCUUCCAAGAGUGCUGUUGAAAUAGCAUUCCGUUGCUCGCAUUUGCAAAAUGUAGACCUGUUUUCAAAAAGUGUAAGUUCUGACAAAGUAGCUAAGUUUGGAGGUUCACUAAUUAAUCUAUUAAUGUAGAUGCUCAUUCUUCUUCUUCUUAUAUUCUAUAGGAUCCAUUCUUAAGAAUAUCUAGAAUUGUUGAGAGUGGAAAUUCUGUUCCUAUCUACAAGACGGAGGUGAUAAACAAUAACUUGAAUCCCAUUUGGAGACCAAUAACUUUGAGCAUGCAGCAAUUUGUGAGCAAGGUAACCUUAUCAUCUUCUUGUGCUUGUUACUUAAAUGUAUAUUCAGGGCCGGCUUUAGAGUGUUUGGGGCCUUAGCGAAAUUUUUUUAUGAGGCCUCUAUUUGUUUUGCAAUUUCAAUACUCAAAGAAAUAAAAAAAAAAUGCUCAAAAUUUAUUUCAUUUGUAAUUCUUGAAUUUUAAAAAUAAAACCUAAAAAAAAAGUUAAGAAGAUAUUUUUUUAUUCCAUUAAAACUAUUACAAAAUAAACAAUCAAAUAAAUACGAAUAAUAUUAUUUUCAAAUAGGAUAUUUCGAAUGAUAGAACAUAAAAAGUUGAGAUGAUGAAUUAAUGAUCAGAUAAUAGAAAUGGACUUUGUAUUUCUAUAAAUUGAUUUUUUUUAAAUGAACCAAUGAAUAUAGUAUUUUUCUUUCUAGAGAAGUGAGGAAGAAAUUUUUUCAUUUACUGAUUUUUUAGAUUACAAAUUUUUUAAUGGAAAUUAAAAGAAAUACUAAAAGUCAAAUAUUCUAACAUUAAAUAAUUAAUUUUUUUGAGGAAAUUGAAAAGAUAACUAAUUUAAUUUUUUUUGGAAAGACUAAUAAUGAAUGAAUUAAUGAUUAAAUAAUAUUAUUAGUUAUAUCUAUUUAACAUUAAUGUUAUCAAAUAUAGUUUUUUCAUAAAAAAUAAUUCUUAACUAUAUGAUAAUUAAUAAUUAGAGAGAUGUUAAUAAGCUUUUUGAUUUCCUAAAAUACGUAAUUUAAAAAAAUGAGAAUUAUUAAAAAAAAUUCAAAAAAUGAGGCCUUCACAAAAUAUGGGGCCUUAGGCGACCGCCUUGUUCGCCUAUACCUAAAGCCACCCCUGUGUAUAUUAGGUAGUGAAGUUUGGUCAUGGGGAAAUGUUUUUUAGUAUAUGAUUUUCUUUGGUACAGGAAAACCCAUUAAUCAUUGAAUGUUUUGAUUUCAAUACCAGUGGAAAUCACGUACUGAUGGGGUAACUGUUAAAUUUCUUAAUGUCAUUAGCUUCCCUCUUUUAUCCUUUUGCCUUUCUGAUGUCAAGUUUUUCUAUUUCUGUUAUUAGUAAAAUUCAGAAAUCAGUUGGAGACCUGGAGAAACUUCAUCAAGAAAGAACUGGUGCAACUUAUGUUACCAUCAACUCAACGUGGCCAUGACAAGGUGUUUAUUCUUUUUUGUUUUAACUCCACCAAAGGUGUUUGUUCAUGCUUACGGUUUUUGAUAAUUUAAUAUCACUUUAUUGUUUAUCUGACUUUUUCCUAGGUUCUGAAAAGUCAGUUGUUUGUUGAAAAGUUUGUUGAGAAAGAGCAAUAUAGUUUUCUGGAUUACAUAUCUAGUGGCUUUGAGUUGAAUUUUAUGGUUGCAGUCGACUUUACAGGUAAUUAGAAAGACAUUGCUUGUUGGAGAUAAAUUGGCAAUAUAAUCGUUUUGUUUUGUUUAUUUCCUCUUAUUUGGUCCAACUUCAUCUUGCCUCUCGUUAAAUGCAAAAUCAUCCAGCUUCAAAUGGAAAUCCUCGAAAUCCAAAUUCUUUGCACUAUAUUGAUCCUUCAGGCAGAUUGAAUUCUUACCAGCAGGUAAGGUUUUGUUAUGACUCACAUUUUGACAAGUGAUCUCUGAACUCUGAAGGUCAUAAAAUGGUCAUUUUGUCCAGUGUUUUCGACUUAGAAAAUGCAUGUGACUUUCAAGUCUUUCUAUGGCCGUCAUAGGAAAAUAGAUAUUUCAAUAGUUCGUAGAAGUUGAGAGAGAAUAUCACUGAUUAGUUAUUGGCCUCUUAAACCAUUUACAGGCAAUAACGGAAAUUGGGGAGGUCAUACAAUUUUAUGAUUCUGAUAGACGCUUUCCUGCAUGGGGAUUUGGAGGGAAGACAUUUGAUGGCACUGUAUCACAUUGUUUUAACUUGAAUGGAAGAGCAGGUGGCUUUGAGGUAGGGGUAGCUGGAGUUCGCAACUUUGCUGUAAUCCUUAUUUGGUUGGCUUGUCUCCCAUAACUUUUCAUUUUUAAUAACAAACAUUAUAAUAUGUUUCUACAUUUUCUGAAAAUUUCCUUGGAAUUCAUUUUUUUUAUUAACUGCUGGUUUCUUUAUUUAAUAGGUAGAUGGAGUUGAAGGCAUUAUGGCUGCUUAUGCAAGCGCUCUAAACAAUGUUUCUUUGGCAGGACCGACUCUGUUUGGUCAAGUGAUCAACACAGCUGCACGAAUUGCUGGACAGUCCCUCUCAUACGACAGAAGCAAGUAUUUCGUCUUACUCAUUAUAACGGUGAUUACAAUGAUUCUAUAUAUUCACAGUUUUCUCUUUCUAUCAUUCUUUUUGGGUGAUUUGUAAAUUUGCAUGGUCUAUCUAGGAUGGAGUUCUGACAGAUCUCCAAGAAACGAAAGAUGCUUUGGUAAGGGCUUCUGAUCUUCCCCUGUCAAUUCUAAUUGUGGGUGUGGGAGGUGCAGAUUUUACACAAAUGGAGGUACACAAUGUUUUCCAACUAGAAUAUCUUCUUACUAGCAUUGAACUUCUUUUUUCUAUAGUUUGAUAGAUUCAAUUUAGAGUAUAUAUGCAGUGUGGUAUUAUCCCACUUUUGUUGCAGAUUCCUGAUGCUGAUAACUUUGUUGGCAGAUUCUUGAUGCCGAUAAUGGCCGUAGAUUAGAGAGCUCUACCGAUCGGGUAGCUACCAGAGAUAUAGUACAAUUUGUUCCAAUGCGAGAAGUUCAUAGUGAGUGCAUAUGAUUCUUUGAAAAAAUUAGUUCAAACUAUUGAAUUUGGGAGUUAAUUCACAGAAGUUUCUGAAUUUUUUCAUGCCUGAAGAAAGGAACCCAUUGUUUUCUGAACAGGUGGGCAAAUUUCUGUUGUACAAGCACUUUUGGAGGAGCUGCCUGGUCAGUUUUUGACCUACAUGCGCUGCAGAGAUAUCAAACCACUCAAUGUUCAGAUGGCCCAAACAUGCGCUUGAGUAAAUAUUCAUAUAUUUGGAAAGGAUACAAAACCAAGCCAAAUAUAUUAGACAAGACCAAGCCAAACAUAUUAGGCUAUACAAACAUAACAUAGCAGAAAUUGAUAAUGGUACAUUACAUAUGUUAGGAUAUAGCAGUUUUAGAUGAUGGUAAAUUACAUAUGUUAAGAUAGAGUGGUUUGUAACUAACUUUUGAUGGCUUAAUGAAUUGAUUGAAUUUGUAUUUAGAUUCUAUCAAUGAUCUCCUAUCCAUGUCUUUCGAUUUUUAUUAUUCCCUCUACCCACUUGUUUCACAAUUUGUUUGUGUCUGAUGGCCUAAAACUCCAAUUUCUGUACAUGAACAUGUGCUGAAUGUCUACUACAAUGAACAUGUGCUGAAUGUCAACUUUUACUACUACACCAGCAAUCUAACACAUGGCUCACGUGCACACUAGACAAGUCUGAUUCACACAUCUUUAAAGUGUUGUAUUAUAACUCUCUGAAACUGGGUUUGAGUAAUCAAGAAAAGCCAAAAUGUAGAACAAUGACAAUAAAAAAUGAAGACCCUCUUACAGUCUUUAACUUGAUAGAAAAAACACGAGCUGCAUACCAUGUCUGACAAAUUUCAAAGAAAAUUGGCCUCAUUCCUGAUGCUGCACAGAAGGUUGGCCUGAAUCAUCUUUAAGAAAGCUCAUUUAUUACAUUAAUACAUUAUAUCAGUGAGAUGAUGCUACUUUAAUGAAACUCAUGUCUCAAGUUUGGAACAGCUACAUGGGCAUUUCAUCGAACAGUUGAUAUGCUUGGUAGAUAAUCGAAGUUUCCUGGAAGUUGCAAGGGCUGCCGGCAUUUUCAAAAUUGGAAGACCAUUCAAAGGUUUUCAAUAGUUAGUUUGAUAUUACACGUGUGAUAAUCUUGUGAUGAUGAUGAUUUUAUGUGUCUGAUUAUAAGCUAAGCUAAGCUAGUGGAUUUGUAAGUAAGCACACGGCAAAGUAUUUAACCUUCUUAUUGUCGCAUUCUUCUAAUCAAUUAGCUUUCACCAACAAAAAUAAUUAAUAAUAAUGUAAAUGGAGGAACUUGGGAUCAUUAACCAGGGAGGAUCCACAUGUUGUCUACAGUGAGCAAUUGACCAGUAAACUUUUAUUUUUCCAUAAUUUUCUAUAUAAAAUCUUGAUAUUUUCAUGAAAUUACAUAAUUUCUUAUAUAAUUGUCUCCAAAAAAUACCAAUAGGUGCACGAACACAAAUAUGAUGCACACAUCUCUUUAAUUAAUUUAGGGCUUAAAGAGAUUUUAAGAUGACUACAAAUUGAAUAUGGCAGAUCUUGGACACCAUCCAUAAGAAAUAAAACUAGUCUCAAAUUGGAUUUCUAAGUACUCAAACAAAGCUAAAAGCAUAAUAAUGAAUGAAAACUGAAACAAAAAAUCCUCUCACCAACACCAUAUGACUCUUAAUAUCUAGAAAGAACUCAAGCUCGAGCCUUAUCCAAAAUGCUGCACAAGUAGCAUGAAUCGUCUUCAUAAGUUUGGAGACUCUGUAGACAAAGAGUAAAAACACAUUGAAGGUGUAGUUUUCACAUAAUUAAAUUGCACAAAUUAGCAUCUAUUAAGGACACAGAAAUCCUUCAAUUCUCUCUAUAAGCAAUUAAUUUUAUUUUUAUUUAUUUUUUUUUUCGCUAUGUCUUGUCUAACAAAUAAUCCUCAACAUAACAACAUAGCAGAGUAGUUAUAUUUUAAAAAGAUGUACCAAUAUGAUUUAACAAAAAAUUCAACAUAAAUAAAACACUUUUAGUCAGCAAAAUAGAAUCAAAUCAAAACCUCCCGUUUAUCUUACCACUAUUUUUCGCAUCUUUUUCCUUUUCAUUCGCCUCGGCGGACUUCUCAUUCUCUUUUUCCUCCCCUUCCUAAUCAGAUUUAAAAUGAAUUUAUAAAAAAAUUAAUAUGUAUUUUUUUCUUUUUUCUUUUUUAUAUAUAUCUGUUAUUAAAUCAGUAAUUUUUAGAAGAAAAAAAAAUCAACAUCUCAUAGUGAAUGAAUACUUACCUUUUUUCUUUUAAGAUAUACGUAUUGAAUGGUUGUAUUAAGGUCCCGAUCCCAAGCCCCAAGUUUCUUAUCGACUAGGCUCAUCUGCACUUCGUGUAACUUGGGUGUGCUUAAUUCCCCUUCUGAGAAAAUCUUCAUAUUGGGGCAAUCUUCCACCACUAAUGUUUCCAGAGAUGGGAAUUUGAAGUCGCAAUUAUUCCCAGAGCAGCUGAAACUAGUCAGACUUUCUAAGUCCAAAAGAAUCAAUUCCUUUAAAUCGCUGAAAACAAUUUCAUCUUUUUAAUCUCCCUCAUCAUCCUCAUCUGCCACUAUUUCUGUUAUCAUCUCGCAGCAAACUAUGUGCAUUCGUCUCAGUCGCACCAGACUCCUUGCUGUUGAGGAUGUUAGUACGUGUAUCAUUCCGUGGCAAAGACAUACAAUCAAAGUUGUUAGGUUCUGAAACGAUGUCGAGGAUGGCACUAGAUUAGUCAAAUUGUCACAAAAAAGUAUCUUCAGCUGUUCCAAAUUGUUGUUAUUGGUUGACUCUUGUUUGAAAAUCUGCUUCAGUUCACGACGCUGGUUUAUUCCCCUCAUCAUUGCUUCCAUCCCAUUUUCAAGGUUUUCAAAUGAUGUGUCCAAAUCUGCCUCAUUGUUCCCUCCUAUAGAGAGAAUUUUGAUGGUGUGAAAUCUCUGGAGGAAAUCGUCAAGUGAUAAAAUAGUACUUGACUCAUCAAGCCAGACAUCAAGACAUUUAAGUUUGCAAAGCCAGUCUUCUGGAAAUAGGCCUAUGUGCUUUUCAUCAACACUCAAUUUCUCCAAAUUGGGGAACACCUGGGUGAUCAUCAAUCACGAAAAAAGCAAGAUGGAGUUAACACUUCUUUCUUGCGAUUUCACAAAUUAAAGUAAAUACAAAGCAUUCCAAUGAUGCAUAUUGAUGGCCGGACAAAUAUAUACAUAUGCGGAGAGAGUAUGAUUUUCAGCUGUAAAUACAAAGUAAAUACAAAGCAUUCCAUUUAAGUAAUGUGUAUUUUCUUCCAUUCUCUCUUCUUAACUCUUGUCCAGUAGAUAGAUUUUCAAAGUUUAUUAGAUUUGUGCAUAAUCUCUAUGAAAAAGACUUCAAUUAUUCUCAAAUUGCAUUUAAACUUUGAGAUUCUUUUAAUUGAUCCGUUUAUUUGGUUUGAAUUGAAAAUCUUACAAAUUUCUUUUUUUUUUUAAAUAUUGGAGUUUUUAACUUUUUCUUAAAGCAAAAAUGAAUAAAUAAUAUGAAUUUUAAAAGUUUAAUAAUAUAGUAAGAAGCUGGUAUUUCAUUAAUAUUCAUCCAACUCAAUGGAAUUAGAUAUAUUUAUUAUUGUGCAAGAAUGGAUUUUAUUGUACAUAAAGUUUAAUAGAAUAAGAUUUCUUAAUUUGAGUUUUGUCCAUCUUUCUAUAUAUAUUUCAAAAAUAUUAUUUAUGUUAGCACAAGAUGACCAAUUUCUACUUCAACAUCAAAAUUGAUAAUCAUUUUGUAUGUAACAAUACUGUACUAAGGAGUACUAAUUUGGAAAUAGCUCUUGAACGAUUUUCAGGGAAUUAACUAUGGCUUGAAAAACUCUAAAUCUUAUGAGUAUUUUCUUUGUUUGGCUAAUCAAAUGCACUCUCUACCGUGUAUUUAACUAAACAUAUAGACAUAAAAUAAAAAGUAGAGGAAGAAGAAAAACUCUGAUAAUUAAGAGAAAAAAAAUUGAACUAACAUUAUUGAAGAGUGAUAAUUAUGUUUAUUGAAGAUUUAUUGAAUUCAAUAUUCAAUAAUGAGAAGAUUUAUUGAAGAGUGAUAAUUAUGUUUAUAAGGAUAUUAUAAAGUAUAAAUAAAGUGAUUUAUAGAACUAACAUUUUCUUACUAAAAGACAAAGUGAUGAGGGCAAUGACGAAAAGAAAACUCUAAACUCUCAAAGUAGAAAUGCUUUUAAGUACGUAAGAAUUGAACAAUAAUUACAAAAAUCUUGCACGUACCUUUUCAAAAUGCAGAUCUCCUGUGCAGAAGCUUGUAAAAAUCUGCUUCAGAUCUGCUUGAGUGUUAUUAUUGGUAUUGGAGGACUCUCCUUUCAAAAUCUGCUUCAGAUCACGACGCUGAUUUAUUCCUGUUAUCACUACCUUCAUUCCAUUUUCAAACUCGUCAGAUGGAUCUUUCCAAAAAUCAUCGUCAUCGUUUUCUUUUAUAACAAGAACUUUGAUGGCUUGAAAUCUGUGGAGGAAAUCGUCAAGUGAUACAAUAGCAGCUGACUCAUCAAGCCGGACAUGAAGACAUUUAAGUUUGCAAAGCAAGUCUUCUGGAAAUAGACCUAUGUGCUUUUCAUCAACCCUCAAUUUCUCCAAAUUGGGGAACACCUGGGUGAUCAUCAAUCACAAAAGUGGCAAGAUGCAGUUAGCACUUCUUUCUAACGAUUUCACAAAUUAAAGUAAAAACAAAGCAUUCCAAUGAUGCGUAUUGAUGGUCACAGAAAAACACAGGGUGGAGUUGAUCUUCUUUCUAAAAACCUCACAUAUUAAAGUAAAUGCAAAGCAUUCUAAUGAUGAAUAAUAUUGAUGGCCAGACAAUACAUGCAUGGAUAGAUAGAUAGAUAGAUAGAUGCAUACAUACAUACAUACAUAUAUAUUGUUCUCAAUUAUUCUUAAUUUACAUUUAAACUUCCAGAUUCUUUUAAUCGAUCGGUUUAUUUGGUUUGAAUUGAAAAUCAUAUAAAUUUAUUUUUUUUAAAAUUGGAUAUUUUAACUUUUUUUUUUUAACAAAAGCAAAAAUGAAUAAACAGCUUGAAUUGCUAGCACAUAUGAAAAGAAGGAAAAUUUGCACGAAUUUAAAAAACUUAAUAAUAUAGUAAGAAGCUGGUAUUACAUUAAUAUUCAUCCAACCCAAGGGAAUUGGAUAUAGUUUACUAUCGUACAAGAAUGGGUUUUAUUGUAAAUAAAGUUUAAUAGGAUAAAAUCUCUUCAUUUGAGUUUUGUCCAUCUCAGUACAUAUAUUUUUAAGCAUAUUAUUUAUGUUAACAUGAGAUGAACAUUGAUCAUCAUUUUGCAUGUAUGUGGCUUGAAAAUGGCACUCAGAAAUAAUAUGCUUAAAAAUAUUUGAAAAUGGCACUCAGAAAUAUUUUUGAUGUACUGUGGCUUGAAAAACUCUAGAUCGUAUGAUCAUUUUCUUUGUUUGGCUAAUCAAAUGCACUGUCUCUUUCGUGUAUUAACUGAACAUAUAGGCAUAAAAUAAAAAGAAAAAAAGUAGACGAAGAAGAAAAUCUCUUGAAGAGUGAUAAUUAUGUUUAUUGAAGAUUUAUUGAAUUCAAUAUUCGAUAAUGAGAAGAAUUAUUGAAGAAUGAUAAUUAUGUUUAUAAGGAUAUUAUAAAAUAUAAAUAAACUGAUUUAUAUAACUAAAAUUUUGUCACUAAAAGAUAAAGUGAUGAGGGCGAGGAAGACAAUAAAACUCUGAACUCUCAAAGUAGAAAUACUUUUCAGUACGUAAGAAUUGAAAAAUAACUACAAAAAUCUUGCACGCGUACCUUUUCAAUAUGCAGAUCACCUGUGCAGAAGCUUGUAAGCUGCGGAAGAGAACGAAGCUCAAGUGUCCUUAAUUGAGUGAGUUCAAUGACCAAUGGAAAUACAUUUUUCAAUUUAUCACACCCUUCCACCCUUAUGGUCUUUAAUUUGCUAAAAGACUCUGCUGUGAGUGGACCACGACAUAUUUCCUCAAGGUUCCUUAAAUCUCUCAGAAAUAAUGACUCCAAAAGGGGGAAUGCAAUCGUCGGAGCUGGCGUACAAUCCAUUGUGUCAACAAGACGAACAAGGUUGCCAUUAUGUUCGAUUUGGAGACGAUUCAGUUUUGGAAAGACUUCUCUGCCUGGUUCACAAAGAACAUUCUUCAUGUCCGGCAAUCCAUCUAAAGUUAGGUCUUCAAUACCCUUCAAUUGCAUGAUAUGCCCCUCGUUCAAGCAAAUGUUGGCACCAUUGGUGAGCUUCAGUUUGAAUUUUCUAGAAAUCCCAUCCGAUCGGCCAACCGACCACCAGUCAUAUCCUAUCGAUAUCCUGUACCUUUGCAGCAUUUUGAAGAACGACAAGUCUCUUGGUAGAGUCUUUUCAUCUUGGAUGAGUAUUUCUAAAGAGGUCAAUUUAGAUAAAUUAUUCAACUCGUCAAGGCUGGCAUUUCUUCUUUCACCGUCGACUCCUCCAACCUUCCCCCACAUAAUGGGACUCUGACCGAUAUACAAUUCUUCUAAUCGUGAUAAGCUUGAUAUGACAUUUGGUGGAAUAACUUGUAGAUUGAAACAGUAACUCAGAUCCAAUAACCUCAAUUGAGUCAGCUCGCCCAUUUCUUCAACUAGUUUCUCCAUAUCAGAACCUCGAAGUGUAAGUAUUUCUAAUUUCUUCAGGCUCCAAUAAUAGCUAUGUCUCCUAGUAUACAAAAAUCCAGAGACAAUGUUCGAAGGUUUUGUAAGAGACCAAGCGAUGAAGGCAAUGCCAACAAAUGCAUCUCAGUGAAAUCUAAAACUCUAAGCUCUGUCAUCUCAGUAAAAAUGUUAUCUGGGACUCUCAAAGAAGGAUCAUUGCUAAUACGAAAGUAUUUAAGUUGCGGACACUCGAACCCUUGAGGAAGCUCACUAAUAUUAGUAUUAAAUAAGGAGAUUGCGGUGCAAACCUUCAGUGUAUCCUUAUCUGGCCAGCUGGUCUCAUUUUCCACCGCAAACACAUGUUGGACUCUAGAUGCAAUAGAUAUGGCUACAUCACGAACAACAUCAUGCAUUGAAAACCAUUCACUAGUAUCGCCAUCAAGCAACAAACAAGAGUUCUUGAGUUUAUCAAUCAAUGUAUGUGCUCUAUCCCGUGCCUCUUCCAACGUGUUGAUGUUUUGAAACAGACCCAAACCCAUGCCAUAACAGAUCACGUCUUCAACACAAGAGAUGAACGUGUACCCUAUUAGCAAAAAGGUUUGCCUGAGUUCCUCACCUUCUAACUGAUAGUAACUCAACUCUAUAGUUGAAUAGGCGGCCACCGCUUGUGUCCCAGAGAAACUUCUCAAACAAGGCCUUUUUAAUUGAAGUAAAGCAUUCCUCCAUUCAUAGAGACUCUUAUUUUUCAAUGCCUUCGCUACGGGCACGAUGGCAAUGGGCAAACCAGCACAUUCCUUGACUACCUCUGUCGCUACAGAUUGCAGUUCACCAUUUUCCAUGCAAUCACCUGUCAUCUUCUUGAAAAGACUCCAAGCUUCUUUUUCAUUCAGAACAUCAACAAAAAAAUUUUGUUGACAAUCCAUUUUACAAGACAACACAUCUUGACUUCUUGCUGUCAGCAGAACUUUACAUCCGCCGUUAUCAUCUGCCAAUGGAAUUCCAAUCGCCUCCAAAUCGAGACUCCCCAAGUAUCAUCCAAGAUUAUGAGGAUCUUCGUCUCUUUCUUCAAUUGUUCGAGCAGCCUCCAUGCUCUUACAGUUUCACUCUCUUCAUCUAUUUUCAGGCCCAGCUUCUCUGCAAUUUCUCUUUGUAUUUCUUUUAUUUGUGGUGUUUGGGAAACACGUGAAGAAAUGACCUUCUCAAAGAGAUUAUUUUCCUUGGCCUGUCUGCCAACUUCUUUCACCAGCGUUGUCUUUCCAAUGCCGCCCAUCCCGUACACCACAAUCAUGUUGAAGUUACGGUUGCUGAGUGCGUCUAGUAUCUCCUUCAAGGUGGACUUUCUCGAUUCAAAGUGCAUGAAAUCCUGGGUAGACUUAAGCCAUGUCUCCUCUGGAAUGAUACGGAAAGAAACACUGUCGAAUCUCCCUUUUUCAUGGAGUCCAACAAUAGCAUUCGCCUCUCUUUCUGCUUUCUUGCUAAGCUGGUACCGAGUCCUCAAAUUAGGACAUAACCCCUUCAAACACCGGUUGUUUGAAUUCUCUUUGUCUUCAAUAAGUAUUUCGACUUCAUUGAUCUCCUUGUUCGCAGCAAUCAGCCAUUCCUCAACGUGCUGUUGGAUUCCGUCCCCUUUAAUUCUGGAAUCAUCAACCUUAUACUGCACACUGUCUCUAGCAUUCUUGAGCUUAUCAACUUCAUUAUUCAGCUUCUCGAAGUUGGUCUUGUAAGUGCAGCAGUAAGUAAAUGGAUAAAUUAUGGGAGCAACCAAGUACUCUGCAACUUUUGCCGCAACGGAGAUAACAAUUUCCAUUAUCCCUUUCUUUUUUUUCUUUUUUUCUUUUUUCUUUCAAAAGACAGGGGAAAGCAAAACUAAUCAAACUAAGCAGAACUAAUCAAUCAGCUGGUGUUAAGGAAGCCCAUUGAGCAUGUGUGUCAAUGAUGAGUCAGCAGUUAGUUGGGUAAAGAAGCCAACUCAGCAAAUCUGUUAAUCAUGUUUUACGUUCUGUUCUUCAGUUGUUAGUGAAGCUUUUAAUUCUGUUGAGAUAUGAGUUAGUAUAAAUAAGUUGUUAUUGUAUUUUGUAAAUAACAAUGUGAGAUUCAAUAAAAGAAGAAUAGUUUCUAAGGAAAAAUAUUGAUCAUUAUUUUCUUAGCUUCCAAACAACUUUUACAGUCACAAUUCAACUUUCUAACAUGGUAUCAGAGCCAGUAAGAGCAAGCUCUAGUGCUCAGCAAACAAAUCAACAAAGUCAAAUAAAUUUUUCUUUCAACACUCCAAUUAAACUAGAUCGAUCGAACUAUCUACUUUGGCGUUUUCAAGUUUUAGCUUCCAUAAGAGGCAAUCGAUUGGAAGGCUUCAUCAAUGGAACAAAACCAGAUCUUGAAGAACAGUUCACUCAAGUUGGAGCUGAUGGAUCUAUUCAGAAAAUUGAUAAUCCAGAAUAUCAGAAUUGGAGAUCACAUGAUCAAACAUUGCUUGGAUGGAUGCUAUCAUCAAUAAGUGAAGGUACUCUAAAUCUUGUCAUAAAUUGUGGUAGCUCGUUUGAUGUUUGGAGAACUUUAGAAAAGAAAUUUGGUGUGCAAUCUGAAGCUAGGGUUCUUCAACUUAGAUAUGAGUUAAAUACUCUUAGGAAGGAAUCAAUGAGUAUUGAAGAUUACUGCAUCAGAAUGAAAACUGUAGCAGAUAAGCUUGCUAGUGCUGGAAGUCCUAUAACAGAGAAAGAUCUCAUGCUGACAAUUCUUAAUAGCUUAGGAGCAGGCUAUCGUGAUAUUGCUACCUUUAUAACUGGCUCAAAAAUGGACUAUGAUGAUGCUUAUGCAUUAUUAUUAACUCAUGAAACCAGACUUGAACAAGAGCAGAAUGAUAAAAGCAUGUUUAAUGCAAAUUAUGCUUACACAAAUGCCUAUUAUCCAAGGGCAUUCUAUGCCCAAUCUAGAAAUAAUUUUAGAAGAGGAGGAUAUGCUGGUGCUCAGUUUGGUAAUACUGGUAGAAAUCACACUGUUGGAAGAGGAAAUAUUUUUCAGUCUCCAAGGAUGUUUAAUGGCAAUCACAGAGGUGGAUAUGGAAGAUGACACUCAUUUGGCCCAAAUAAUGUUAACUCUUUUCAUGCACCUAGGAAUCCAAUAUAAUUUACUAGGACUGGAGUCACUAAUAUGAAUGGACCUCAAGGAAUUCCAAGUAAUGCAGAAGAAUUAGUUAUCAUACUGCUGAUAUUUGCUGGCAUCGAUUUGUGGAGGAUUAUGUCCCUUCUUCAAGAAGUCUAGGCAGAGGAAAAGGACCAAGAUCAGCAUAUAUUGCUAACUUUGAUGGCUUUACAUAUCCAUAUCAAGGUUAUGAUAACUAUGAUAAUCAUCCUGCAUUUGAGACAAGCUGCUAUUCUGGAAUUGAUAACUAUGCACCUGCAGAAGCUUAUGUGGCUAAUUUUGAAAGCUUUGCUGAUGAUGGCUGGUACUUGGAUAGUGGGGCAACUCAUCACUUGACCAACAACAUGGAGAACUUGCAUUUUAAGGAAGACUACAAAGGUACUGAUCAACUCAUUAUUGGAAAUGGUCAAGGUCUUUCAAUUUCUCAUAUUGGUCAUGCAUUUUUGUCAUUUAGAGCUUCAAAACAUCCUUACACACAUGCCUCCACUAUAGCACUUAAAGAUAUGUUACUUGUUCCUACAAUCAAUAAGAAUUUACUAAGCAUCUCCAAACUUACAUCUGAUAAUUCACUCUCUGUUGAAUUUUGUGGAAAUGUCUGUUAUGUUAAGGACAUGAAGGGACAAGUUCUUCUGCAGGGCCUUGCUGAGAAAGGUCUUUACAAGCUGUUGAUGAAAUCUUCUUCCAUGUCAUCUUCAGCUUAUCAUACAUCACCUGCCUUUCAUCUUUCUCAACUUCAGUCACAGAAACCAAUAUCCAUGCUGUCAUGCUCAAAUGUGUCUUCUAUUUCUCAUCAUUGUAAUUUCUUUGAUAAGACUUGUUUCAGCUCAAUUUCAAAUAAGUGUAACCAGAAACAUGAUGAACUUACCUUGUUACACAGAAAGUUUGGUCAUCCAAGCUCAACAGUAUUGAUGCAUUUGCUUAAGACUUGUAAACAAGUUAAAGUCUCUCAAAAAUCAAUUUUAUCUCCUGAGCAUUCUAUGUGUGAAGCAUGUCAAUUAGGAAAAGCUCACAAGCAACAUUUUUCUACAACCGAAACCAAAACAACUCAAGUAUUAGAACUGAUACAUACUGAUCUGUGGGGGCCUUCACCUACUACAUCUAAAAAUGGUUUCAAAUACUACAUAAGCUUUGUAGAUGAUUACAGUAGGUAGACCUGGAUUUACCCACUCAAACUCAAAUCAGAAGCUUUUGAAGUCUUCAAAUUAUUCAAAAUCCAAGUAGAGAAUCAGUUCAAUACCAAAGUCAAGAUGCUGCAAUCUGACUGGGGGGGAGAAUAUAGAGUUUUUACUAACUUCUUAAACCAGAAUGGGAUCAUUUUCAGACAUUCAUGCCUUACACUCAUCAUCAAAAUGGUUUAGUAGAAAGAAAACAUAGACAUAUAAUUGAGUUAGCUUUGACUCUCUUAGCUCAAGCUCAUCUUCCUUUUAAAUUUUGGUGGGAAGCUGUUCAUACAGCAGUGUAUCACAUAAACAGAUUACCAACACCUGUAUUGAAACUCUUAUCUCCAUAUGAGAAGCUCUUUAAGCAUAAACCAGAUUACAGCCUCCUUAAAUGUUUUGGUUGUCUUUGUUAUCCAUACUUGAGAGAUUUUAACAAACAUAAAUUUGACUUUCAUACCAGCAAGUGCAUCUUUAUUGGUUAUAGCUCAUCUCAUAAGGGAUAUAAAUGUCUUACAAGCUCAGGCCAAGUUCAUAUCCUUAGACAUGUUGUUUUUUAUGAGAAUGUAUUUCCAUACACAACAUUCUCUGUUCCUUCUUCAUCUGAAAAUGUUGUCAACUCAGAAACACCAGUGUCAAAUUUCUCUAAACAGCAAGUCUAUCAUCUUUCAACUCUACCCUUAUUCAACAACAGCUUUGAAGAUACUUUCUCAGCAGGUGUGCCAAGUGAUGAACAAACUCCUGUUUUGCCUGAGCAUACAGAUAAUUUGAAUCAACAAGAAUCAUCUAGUUAUUCUUUAUCAGAACCAUCAAUAUCACAAGUUAUCCCUCAAAUCCCUGAAUCUACUCAAACACAACCUGAACCACAAACAAGCAAUCAACAACACUCUGAAUAUAAUCCAAACAGAAUUCAGAUCUCACAACCUACACACAAAAUGAUUACCAGAUCAAAGUCUGGAAUAUUCAAGCCUAAGUUGUAUACAGCCAUCUUGAUCAACAAAGAACCUGACACAAUUCAAGAAGCUCUGAAUGAUAAAAAUUGGUAUAAGGCCAUGAAAGAGGAAUAUGGAGCUUUGAUCAGGAAUGAGACUUGGUCUCUUGUACCACCUCCAGCUGAAAACAAAAUAGUUGGAAACAAAUGGGUGUUCAGGGUUAAACAAAAUAGUGAUGGCAGUAUAGCAAAGUACAAAGCUAGAUUGGUUGCUAAAGGUUUCCAACAAACUGAAGGGAUUGAUUAUUUCGAAACUUUUAGCCCUGUUGUAAAGGCUUCCACAGUGAGGGUUAUACUAAGCUUGGCUGCAAUGCAGAAUUGGAUGAUCAGACAGGUAGAUGUUAAUAAUACGUUUCUGAAUGGUGACUUAACAGAAGAUGUCUACAUGGGUCAGCCUGAGGGUUUUGUUGAUGAGAAGAAAUCAGGUUAUGUAUGUAAGUUGAAGAAGGCUUUAUAUGGUUUGAAACAAGCUCCCAGAGCUUGGUUUGAUAAACUAAAAGGCUGUUUGGUUGCAAACUGGGGAUUUCAAAAUUCCAGAGCUGAUACCUCACUAUUCUUUAAAGGAAAACAAGAUUCAAUGAUAUUAGUCUUGAUCUAUGUUGAUGACAUACUGAUAACAGGGCCUAACAGUGAUGAACUUAAAAAGUUUAUCUCAAACUUCAGCAAAGUGUUUGCAUUGAAAGAUUUGGGAAGACUCUCAUAUUUUCUGGGUAUAGAAGUAUCUUAUGCUGAGAACAAUAUUUACUUAUCCCAAAGAAAAUAUGUUAGAGACCUGCUAAGCAAAGCUGAUAUGCUUCACUGCAAAGGGUGUGAUACACCAAUGGUUACAGGGACAAAACUUCAAAAGGAAGCUAAGGGAUCUUUGGGUCAGCAUGUUGAAGAUGCAACAAGUUAUAGAAGUUUAAUUGGAGGGCUGCAGUAUUUAGUUCUGACCAGGCCAGAGAUAGCUUUUGCAGUGAACAAGCUAAGCCAAUAUGUUUCUGCACCUACACUACAACAUAUCCUAGCCUGUAAGAGAAUGCUUAGAUAUUUGAAAGAGACAGAAGACUAUGGAUUAAAGUUUUCAGCUGAUGGAGAAAUAAAGUUAACAGGUUUCACAGAUGCAGAUUGGGCAUGUGAUAUUGAUGAUAGGAAAUCAACAGGUGCAUACUGUAUUUACUUGGGAAAUAACUUGAUCUCUUGGUCAUCCAAGAAGCAAUCCAUAGUUACAAGGUCAAGUGCAGAGAGUGAGUACAGAGCUCUUGCUUCUGCAAGUGCAGAAAUUACAUGGUUACAGUCAUUGUUCAAGGAACUCAAGAUUGAAUGUAUUUCAGUGCCUACAAUCUGGUGUGACAAUAUAAGUGCAACUGAGCUGGCCAAAAAUCCUGUCUACCACUCGAGAACCAAACACAUUGAAUUGGACAUGCACUUUAUAAGAGACAAAGUGUUAGCAAGAGAGCUGGAAAUCAAUUACAUUCCCAGUGAAGAACAGAUUGCAGAUAUCCUGACCAAGCCUCUCACAUUCACUCAAUUCAAUUAUCUCAGGAGCAAACUUAAUGUGCAGCCAUGCCCCUUAAGUUUGAGGGGGGCUGUUAAGGAAGCCCAUUGAGCAUGUGUGUCAAUGAUGAGUCAGCAGUUAGUUGGGUAAAGAAGCCAACUCAGCAAAUCUGUUAAUCAUGUUUUACGUUCUAUUCUUCAGUUGUUAGUGAAGCUUUUAAUUCUGUUGAGAUAUGAGUUAGUAUAAAUAAGUUGUUAUUGUAUUUUGUAAAUAACAAUGUGAGAUUCAAUAAAAGAAGAAUAGUUUCUAAGGAAAAAUAUUGAUCAUUAUUUUCUUAGCUUCCAAACAACUUUUACAGUCACAAUUCAACUUUCUAACAGCUGGGAAGAGGGAAAUAAGAAGUUUGGAUAAAUUGCUAAAAUAAGAAGUUGAAUAGAUUUAAGGGAGGAGGCGAGGAAAAGAGUGAAAAAUCUAGAGAUGAAACAAAGGGGGAUCCUUUUUCUGCUAAGAAAAAUUGAAAAGCGAGUACAAUAAAUGAAAGAUUUGCAAAGAAGGUGUAGGAUCGAGGACAAGAACGAUUCAGAAAAGGGAGA